CCCUCAGCUUUUUUAUGCUUUUGUUAAGCUUCUCACGCUUUACUGCCACUGCCGGCGACUCCUCCAGCAUCCUCUCGAUUCCCCCGCCGUAUGGUCCCAUCAACUCAUUCACAAUCUCAGCUUCCAACUCUUUGUUCACAAGCUUAAAGACAGACAGCUGCAAGUGCAAUGCCAUGGAGUCCACAAGCCUCCUCAAAACAACCUUCCAAUAGGCAAUCAUUCUCAUUUUAAGGUCAUAAGCUUGACCUAACACAAGCGGGUACAUCCUCAGACAACCGACUUCCACUUCCCCGAUGCCUUCUAUAUCUAUGAUAGAAGGUUUCUUCUCAUCAGCUAAGACUCCAUGAAUGAAUUCAUUUUGAUUAGCCAUCAACUUGUUCCAUUCGGAAACAUAAUCACCAUCACAUGUAUAAUCUGUCAGCUUUUCCAUCUCUACAAGCUCCAGCAUCCACUUGAUUGACCUUUCCUUCAUCUUGGCCAUUAGAUUAUGGCCGGCACGCCUUGCUGACAGCUGCAGCUGAUGAUAGUUCUCCGUAUAAUGCAUCAACACAGAAAUAACCACCUCUUCAAUGUAGCUCCACACUUUUUCCACAAAUGCUAUCGGAAUACUCGAAAUUUCAUCCACUUUUCCCUGCAAGAUACUGAGGAAAGCAUUGCGUGGAAGAAAAUUUGGAAGUGAAAUACCUUUGGCCUUCUCCAAGAUCUUGAUCUCCUUCAUCAAGAAGUUGCUCUUUGCAUCAGUUUCAGCACAUCUGUGAAGUUCAUCAGAGUACAGGUUGACCAAUCUAGCAGUGCAGUGCAUGCUGUCUUCUGCGUACUCGUCAAAUUCUCCUCUCAAAAGAAUCUUCCUAAGCGAUUCCUUAGCCAAGCCAAUGAUUUGCAUAAAGGCCGUCAUGGCCUCGGCAACAGAUGAAAGACUCUUUGGCAUUUUAUUCAGUUCCAUAAUGCAGAAGUUCAGCCUGUCAUUGAUCUUCUUCACUAUAUCGGGUAUAUUUCUUGCUAUGCUGUUUGCUUGAAUUUGGACCAGCUUCUGUGCUAAAACUGGAAUACCGACAAUGGACUUGUCAAUCUUCGAAAGCAGGGGAUGGGUUUGAAAUAGUUCAUGAGCCAUCGCCGCUGCCUCCUCAUAAGUUUCGUCACCAAUCCUGUUCCUUACACAGACAUAACCAAGACCAAUGUUUACAUCAUCUCCGGUGACCUUCUCAAGUAGUCCUUCCGGUGCCUUGUCCACUUUCGUAACCACAGCGAGCGUCCUCUCACCAGUUUUAUCUACACUUUGUGACAUCCGAAUUGACUCACACGUAGUAAAAUCCACCGUAGCAGACAAUACAUUCAGAAUAAUACUUUCUUCCGGCUUAAUAUACUCCAUGAUCAUAUCUUUGAUCUGAUCAUAAAUAUUUUCAGGUUGGCCAUGGACCGGAACCCUUGUGAUUCCCGGAAGAUCAACCAUAGUCAGAUCCGGAACCCCAUUCUUCUUCACCAACAAAUUAAGUGGCGUGUUCGAAAUUCCCUUACCUCCUCCCGCAAUAGAAUUAGUAGCUUUCACAAUAUCUUUGGCGAUAUUGUCUUCAUCAGUACGAUCAACUCUGCCAUUGUACUCCAAGGAAAGUUCAGGCUGAGGACUCGAGUGGUGUUCCAGCCUCAUAAUAAGAGGCACUCUCCUGCAGAUGCCUUGGCCCCGAGGGAGGCUGAUGCCGGCCAAGGAUUCGAGCACGCUGGACUUCCCCGAUGACUGGUCUCCGACCACCACAAUCGUUGGCAGCUGAAUGCCUUCAUCCAUCACCAUCAAGCUGCGUAACUUGUCUACCGCAUCCAGAAGAGGGCGGAUCUUGUCGUUGUAGGACGACACAAUGGGUGCGCAUUUGAGAGGUACUGCGUCUAGUUCUGCCUGAACCAUGGCGAGGGAGCCUUCACCGUUUAAAUCUGUGCAACUCGAUUCCAUUUGCCUUGGUCCUUCCGUUUCUGAAUUAUAGCAAGUGAAAAUAAUGGUGAAAAAUCUAGAGAGAAACCGAGAUAAUUUCAAGCUUAGCUAAAGAAUUGAGGUUCUCUGGCAGCUUACCCUCCAGUUGAGAACCUUUUUUUACUAAGAAUGAUUUCAGGUAAGGGAAAACACCACUUUCGUGACCCUGUAGGAAACGAAGCCUUUCCUUCCAAUGCUGCAUUUCCACAAACUCAAGAGACUCUAAUACCCCAAAAGGCAAGUUACGCUCUCCAUAAAACUCAGCACCAAUUCGAAGAUGGAGUAAAAUGUUCUGUAUUGAGUUUAUGACUUAAUGGAGUAAACUGUUCUAUUUAUAGCUACUGCUAUAUAUCAUUCUUAGCCUUUAAGCAACUUAACUGACUCUCAAUCAACAAUAACAACACAUCUAAUAAAAAUGCUACUUUAUUUGUACCAUCAUUUGCUUACACUGAUAAAUAGCACUCAUACUCAUAAGCUGACAUGGCAGCCACAUCACUUAAAGUAAGAAGAUUACUUGUCAGAGAAGAUAUCAGUCAGGAAGAAGUGAGAAAGCUGGUUUUAGUAAGUGCCUUAGGCUUAAAGGCUUCUGGUAGUACGUAUACUUGUUCAGCAUAACCUAUCGAAGUAAAUGACAACCAGCCGUUUCAAAACCGCAUGCUGAGAGAGUUGUGAUUUGGACUUCCAAACGUUUAGCAAACCACACCUCAUGCGAGCCUUUGAACCCUAAUCAGUGUAAAUGUAAUAUGGACAGUUAACUGAUGACCAUUUUUUGUGCUUGAUGCUCUUGGACUUCAAUCAACCUUUAUAUAUUAUUCAUUCAAAUAAUCGAUCACAAGCUAGCCAAUGUAAGUUGUAACCCAACAGAGACGAGAUGUUGAAGAAAAUUAUAUAUUUUUUGUACUAUGGUAAGAAAACUAAGGCACCCAUUAGAGAAAGAGAAGUGCUAGCAGCCUUUGCACUAAUAUUUGUAUUUGGACCCUUUCAGUUUAACAAAUAACACAUUAUUUUCUAUACAAAAAAAAAAAAGCAAGAAUUUUGUCUAGGAAUUAACGAUGAGAAAUUGAAUCUAACAACCAAAAUUAAAGUUAACAAAAAAAAAUAGAGAACUUAAUUCUUAUCGAAUCGAAUCUACCUUUAUGAUCGUGCUCCAGAGAAAUUGAAAAGAAUGGAGGGUUUUUGAAUUUGGUAUUUUUUGUGUGGAGAAAAAUGAAACAGAAAGAGCCUUUGAAGAUUCCUUUUUGAGUUUUCACAUUAGGAAUUGGAUAUGCUCCCAAUUUUAGUGUCCGGAGCAUGUCCAUCAAUCGAUUUGGGUUGCUAAUUUGUGUGCAAAAGAAAUCAAAGUCGUUCAUUGUGUGUGGUGGGUCAGGAAAAUAAAUUAAAGGAGGCCGUUAGAUUCAAUUUGUGUGGCCCAAAUUGGUUGAUGCACAUGCUCCAGAAACUAAGGUCUGGAGCGGAUCCAAUUCCUUCACAUUGUGGAAUUUUGUUUCACUUUUACCAUUGUAAGACCAUAGAUCAUGGAUGCUGACAUGGUUGGAUAGGUGUCAAAUGAUGGUGUCCUUGGGGUCUCCACUGUGUCAAAGAAAAAGUAGUCCCCAUGGGCAUCCGAGCGGAAAGAGAACCCACGAUAGUAUAAAGAUUUUGCAUCACACUCAUAGCUUUGACAUCAAUCCUUUUCCCCUCCUUGCCGAUGUUCUUUAUAUUUUACUUUCUUUCUUGAUAAGUUGUUUGUAGAUGACAUUUUCUGAGAAUCUCUUGGGUGUCGUAUGCGUGCUACAUCACUCGUUUGUGUCAAAAUAUAUAUAAACAUUAUUUCUUUCAAUUGAUAUUUAAAAUUAAAAGUCUACAGACACUUUUUGGGUGAACUUGAAUUAAGGAAUUCUCAUUUUAUGUGUUAAGUUUUAUGCGGAUGAGUUACGUGGUACAAAUUCAAGAAUUACUCUACAUUUUAAGCUGUUUUUUUAAACAUUUAUAAGCACAUAUAACUGAACUAGAACGCCACAUGACAAUAAAUGAAUUUUAUAUAAAUCAUUGUUACUUGGAGACUAAGAUUAUGACACCAUUAAAUAUUACAUUGUUUUGCAAGAAAAAAGAGAACAUGGGAAAGAUAACAGGACCAAAACAAUUGAGACUACAAUUUAGGACAUAUUGUACCACAUCUUAAAAAAAAAAGUGGAAUUUACUUAUAUUAUGAAACCUACUAGUAUUAAAUGGUUUACAAUGUAAUUUACUAAAGUAUAACCUCUCUAGCUGAUAAGCCUAUGAGUAAUUAGCGUUUGUAGACAUCAAAUGCUAAUGAGAAAAAAAAAAAUCUAAUUUCAUCCUAUCCACCUCUAUUAUAAAAUUUAUGUUUCAAUGCAUAUACUAACGAUCAAAAUUCAAAUUUCAAUUGUAGAACUGAACCAAAUUAUUGGUAACAAAGCGAUAAUAUAACGAUCAAAACUCAAAGAACUCAUGCCCCGAGUCUAUCAAUAUUUAUUAAAUCCAAAUGUUGUCAACUAUUGGUCUAGUGGUAACUCGUCUUAAUUUUUUACAAGCGAAAAUUCUAGAGUACAUCAACUUAUAACAUAAAUUACAAAAUUUAACGGUUAAUAUGUGUUCAAGAAAUCAAAGAAAUCUAAGAUGUAUCAUUUAUGAAUAUGGUCUACAUGCGAAAUUAUCCUCAAAGAUCAUUGUUGGACAUCAAUGACGGAAGAAAAUCGACAAGUGCUUUGAAUAUGCUCGACAACGACUCUCAACUAUGUACACUCACGAGCAGCCUUAUAGAGGGCAAGUAUCCUUGACAUAAUUCGAAGACGUAGUAACUAAAGCAUGCUUAGCAGACCUCCAAGAAAUUGUGGUUCCACCAACAACACCCAUUUGGGAUCUUGCCGUGUGCAGAUUGAAUAAGUACCCAUCAUCAACAUAACCAACAAAUGGAACUCGAGAACUGGGGUGGGGGGGGGGGUGGUGUGGGAUGGUUGCACUCGAAGUUGAGUAGGGAUGGAACAAGCCCAGGUCAACAGUACCAUUAAGAUAACAUAGAAUUUCUUUAACACCUUUCAAUGUCUGCGUGUUGGCACAUGAUUGUGUCGUGCUAAGUGAUUCAUAAUGUAGGAAAUGUUAGGUCUUGUACACUGAGAUAAGUACAACAAAGCACCAAUUGCACUUAAGUAUGGAACCUUGGGUUCUAAAACCUCUUCAUCAUCUAUCUUUGGAUAUUAUAAGUCUCGUUGUGCAUUGAUGAGUCCAUAUUGUACUAUAUAUUUUACCCUAAUCUUAGUUACAAUUUUUUGGUUAUUUUGGUGAAGUUUUGAUACUUUGGUUUAUAUUUUUAAUGUAGAACAUUUGAAUUCCUCUUGAGCAUAAAGUGAUCAAACAGACAAAUUUUGGAGCAAUUCCAACUGAAGGAUGUUCGUGAGUCUUUCAAGAUGAUUAUGUCAAAAUUCUAGAUUUUUUUACCAAGCCAUUUGACCGUGGCCAUGAUAAGAAUGCCCAGCGCGCAGUUUUUCUAGAUUGACAUUUCUGGACGUUUUGGGUAUUUUGAAGGUUAAUAUGGCAUAUUUUAAGGAAGAUUCAAUCUGAAGAUUUGUAAAUGACGUCUCAAACUUUUAAAAAAAACCUUUUGGGACCAAAUCGGAGUUGAUUUAAUUAGUCAAAAGUUUGAUUUUCUAAGAAGUCCGAAUUUCAGUUCAAAUAGGAAAUCUUUUAUUUCCUAGUCAUCUUAUUCUAUUAUGUUUCCUAGUUUUUAGAAGACCUUUUCUAAGUAGGAUUUUAUUUUGUCGUAGUACAAAUAAGGCUAUUUAGCUAUUAGGAGGGGAAGGCAUCAAUUUGGAGAACUUAGCUAGGCUUUGACGAUUUGUAUUUCAAGGUGUUUUAUAUCAUUUUUCUAUUUCAAUAAAAUUCCUUUUGUUUUAUGGUUGUUGGUAACUAAUUUCCGUUUGUUCGGGUGAUGCCUUGAGCCUUAGCAUGAAUAUGUAGUUAAUUUAAUUGCUUAUGAUAUUAUGCAUACUUUGAAUUAUCAAUCACUGUACUUUAAACUGUAUUUGUGUCUUAAUGAUUCAUGACCAUUAGGAUGAUUAGAUAAGUAAUUGGAUGCAAUUCGGUCGGAAUACCACCAGGGAAUUGAGUAUUGCUUCUUGUGAUUGAUAGUUGUAAUUUCACCUAGAGCAAAUACCAUGUCUUAGGGGUUGCAUGGUUUUUUCAAGGGGUUUUAACAAAGCGUAAUGAGUCAUGCAUGUUUAUAUUUGAUCUGAAUACCACAGACAGAUUGCAUGUUUGAUAUACAUUCUAGCUUGAAUACCACGAGUAGAAUAUACAUUAGGAAAACCUAACCUUCAAAGUUGCAUGGGUAAUUCGUAAGUAAUUAGUAAAUCUACAUAGGAUUGUUCAGGGGAUGGCUGAAUCUUAGUGCUUUUCUAAAUUUAUUUCUUAAAACCUUUUCUUUUUUAUCUGAUUUCUUCUUAAUUGGUUACUAGUAGUUUUGUGACAACCCGUCCCGAAUUUGUAUGUAUUUUAAUCCCCGAGUGUGUAAAAUGACGGAAAUGCCCUCGAGGCUUAGUGACGUGGAUGUACAUAGAUAGUUUUAAAUUAUUUUUCUCGCUGUCAUAAUUAAAUCAUACACGACGCCACGAGCGCAUUGACGCGAAUUAGGGUUGAAUCGGAUUCGUAACGAAAAUGUUACAAACGAAUAGGUGUAAAUGAAUAAGUUUGGAUUUAUACCUAACCCACCAAUCAUAUUACUUCCUACAAUCUUGGACCCAAUUAAUUGUUUGGGUUAGCUUUAUUUCUUUUUGGACCCUAAAACCCACCAUCUCUUCUUGCCCAAUCCGGAGGUGCGCGCGCGCGCACACACACACACACACACACUAAAAAUAUCUCAUUUCUCUCCUUGGUGACCAAUCACACACACACACUAAAAAUCUCUCAUUUCUCUCCUUGGUGACCAAUCAGACGCACACACACACACAACCUCAUCUCAUCUCCUUCAUCUUCUCGAACUCUCUCAUUCGUCUGUACACCGUACGAACACCAUUCACAAAUCCACCAAAAACUUCACGGAUCAAGUAUUUGAACACCACUAUCACCUUUCCAGUGAUCUCAUGAGCGAAACUCUGAGAACCCAGAGCUUCGGCGAGGUACUCUAUUACUCUAAUGUGAUUAUGGACAUUUCAUGAGAUUUUGAGGCUUAAAUAGGGUCUUAAUCAACUCUAUAAGGAUCCUAGGCUAGUUUUGGACUGGUUUGAACGUCAGAAUCCUCGAGAUCACGGAGUUGCAGUUUUGGCUGGUUGUGUCGAGCUAUUUUCUGUCCAUUUCUCGAAGGUUUUAGGUUCCUAAAUAGGUAAGGACUUGUUCUCCUUGUUGAGAGCUUCAAUUCCAUAUAAACUUUAAGAAUUUUGGUUGAGUUUUGAAGAAGAUAUGAAUAUUUUAAAAUUUCCCAGUUUCCGGCGAGUUCAGACGGCGGCGGAGGACAACGGAUUCCGUCGAAGUUCACCGUUGAAGACAGAGAAUAUUCCGUGAACUUUAACGGAAUAUUCUAACGGCGUCAGGUAACUUUAACGGAAUAUUCUAGGAUUUUAACGAAAUAUUCCCUAACGCUGUUAGGGUUUCCGUAGUUGUAUCAAACACGUGCCUGCGCGUGGGACAUCAGAAAAUUGUUCUAAAAAUAUGGGGAUGUUCGUGGUGUUAAGUAGCCCACGAUGAUAUAUUCAAACACUCAAAUUGAGCAACGCAUGAGAAAUUAUUACACGGUUUUGGUUAUGUACUUUCAAAUUAACAUUUAAUCAGUUGUUUCACAUAUGGGUGAGACGUUUUCGGAGGACGAGUGUAGCCAGGUAGGACUUGGGGGCUACGACCCUGCUACAUACCAGUGAGUGGGCUUUUGGUUUUCUAUAUAUACGUAUAUAUGCUUUACUUUUUCUUAGAAACUUUUUAAAAUGGAUUCACGUUUUUUAAAUGCCAUGUCAAUUGCAUCACAUUUUAGUAUAUGCAUUAGUAUAGAUAUGCAUAAUGUUGCAUGACACUGCGGACGCCCAGGUAAGCUUCAGGUGAGUACAUAUUGAUGAUAGAGAUGGCAACGUGUAUGGUUAUGUUUAGAUAUAUUUAGUGCUCAUUAUCUUGCACCUCGGUAUUAGUGCUCCACUCGAGGCCAGGGCCUAGCGUUCACGUGAUUGUUCGCCUCCCUUACCACACGCUCACCUUGGAUCUAAUGCAGGUGCCAGCCUGUUGUACAGACCACAUUAGGUGGUUCCGACUCGUAGGUGCCUUGCGAUAUUUCGCACAGCCUUCACGUGAUCGUAGCACUUGAACGUACUUAUUCACACCCAGCCUGUCGUACAUACCACAUUAGGUGGUUCUGAAUCGUGUGCAGGAAUUGGUAGAUGAGCUAUAGGUUUAGCCAUACAGGUCACGUUAGGUGACUCCCGCUGCCAUAUCACUUUACAUUGUUUCACAUCACCUGGCUUAUAUAUUUUAUUACUAAGAUACUUGACAUGGCAUAUACUCGGUUUUCACCGAUCUCGAGUAUGAUUUCUAUAUAUGUAUGUAUUAUUAUUUUCUAGGAAAUUAUACGGGUUUUACGGUGAGGGGUUAUUAUGUUUAAAAAGAGAAAUGUGUUUUCAAAACUUUGCUUUUGCCCACUCACAAUUUCUGUUUUGUGCCCUCUAGGUUCUAGCUAGAAGUUUUUGUUGGUGGCUCAUGAGGACUCUACGACGGUUCUGACAGCCUUGCAAUAAUGUAGGAACUUUCUUUCACGUUCUGUAUAAUUAAUACUUAACUUACUAGACUGCACUUAGGUUACCUAUGCUCUGAGUAUUGUAUUUCCCACUUUAAACACUUUCACACACUUACAUACUACUCUAGUGUAACUUAGUUAGUUUUAGUUUUUAAUUACCCACAUUUCAAAUCACUAUCACUUCCGCAUUGCGCACAUGGCUACAUCACCCUCACGUGACGACCAACAUGCCUCGAUUCAGGUCGAGGUGUGUCAUGUUUUUCCUAAAUUAAUUUUAUUAAAUUCGUUUUUAUUAUAUUUAAAUUCAAAAUCAAAAUUUUUGAAUCCUUGUUUUUAGAUAAUUAACUAAGAUUUUGGUUUUGCAUAAAUUGUUUUAAAUAAUCCUUGUGGAAACGAUCUUGCUUGAACCGUUUAUACUACAAUUACCUUAUUCUCUUGCAAGUAUUUUGUGUGAUUAUAACCUCUUUACAUAGGUACUAAAAAUCCUAUCAUGCAUCAAGUGUACGGGUGGCCAUGAGAGUACUCAAAGGCAACACUUUAUCAUUAAAGCAAUGUAACACCGUCUUGGUGUUGUUUGACUGAUGGACCAGAAUUUUGGAUUGUGAACUACCUUAGUACAUAUGUGCAGAAGUGUGGCGGGUGACGUAAACAUAAAUAAUCAUUUUAACAUGCAUGUUAAUGGAAUGUUGGAUUCCGUUUAAUCAUAUUAAAUUAAUUUAUGUAUUGAUUAUCUUCAGGUAUAAUAAACCACAAAUGUGUGUUGCACGCCCUAGGGAAAUUUUUGAGAAACUUUUGGGUUCACUAGUCUGUAUCACGCCACUUGCUCGUCUAAAAAAGAGAUUCUUUCACGUCACCAGUUUACCAUGCUACAAUUUUGAAUUUAUUAGAUGGAUAAUACAUUUUGUUUAAUAAAUGACCAACUUUACAAAUAUUUUUGUGAAGUGAUUUCACACAUAUUUUUUAGCUUUUUACACACCCAUGUUUAAUUUUGGAUGUUGAUUCUGUUUGAUUUAUUCAAUCUGAUGGCCAUAAAUAAAGAGAGGUAUGUGAGGAACUAAAAAUGGUGUGUGAAAAUCCAUGACACUGCUGAGCAUGAAUUUUAGUUAGAUGAAAAAAAACCUUACGCCUGAUACAAGUGGGAGGACAUGACAUGAUUGCCUUUAUUCAAGGAUGAGGAAUGCUAAGGUGACUAUCAAGAGUAGGACUCUCCAAGAACUCUUUGCCACCUCAUAGUUAGUUUAACGUCAAUUCAUUCAUGUGCCAGCAUUAUAAGACUAAUGCUAGGAAGACUAAAUUUGUAGACUAAAUUUGUAAACUAAAUGACAUGGAAGUUGAUUAUUAGAUUAUUACUUAAGCGUUAAUAAACGUGCUCAUUUUCUAUUGGUGACACGUCAUUUAGUUUGUAAAUUUUGUCUACAAAUUUAGUCUCCAUAGCGGUACUUGUAUUAUAAAACAUUGUGCCAAAUAUAUGAGGUGACAAAGAGUCUCAAUUUUGAGAGAGUAUCAUUAGCAUUUCUCUUCAAGAAUUUAUCCACAUUCUCCCUACUUAAUAAUUUCACCAAAAAUGGUUUCUGAAUGCUAAUGAUACUCCCUCAAUUUUGAGAGAGUAUCAUUAGCAUUUCUCUUCAAGAAUUUAUCCACAUUCUCCCUACUUAAUAAUUUCACCAAAAAUGGUUUUUGAAUGCUCACUUAUCAAAAUUAAGCCCCUGUUUAGUAUUUUUUUUUUCAUCAAAAGUUGCUUCACUUUAAAGUUAAGUAGUAAAAGUGUGUUUGGUAAAAAUAAAUUAUUUUGCUUAUAUUAAGCAUAAUGAAUGACCUCUAGAUAGCAGCUUUUAAAAGCAUCUUGUAGAUACAAAUGCUUUAAUACAAAGCAGAGUUGAGCCUUUAAUGAAUAUUUUUAAUUCCUAUAAUACGCUAAAUAAUUUUAAAAAAUAACAUUAUUUAUUCUUGUAGGCACAUUUUAUCAUUGAAGAAUAAAGUUGUGAAAUCUCGUUCCCAAAAGUUCAUUAUUUAAUUUAUGUAUUUCAUAUCUAUUUGAUUUUAUUUAACUAUAUUUUUGUUAAUAUUAGAAUUUUAAUUAUUUAGUUACAAAUUUUAGUUUUUCAUAAUUAGUCAAAAAGAAAAAAAAACUAGAAUCUGCCAGAUGGCAGCGGGAGAGAGAUAGACCAAUUAGAAGAGAGAGAAAUGAGAGAAAGGAUGGGGACCUAGCCAAUCAGAAAAGAGAGCAAGGAGGGGAAAUGAGGGAGAGAAAAACCACCCAAUACCGGAUUUUUGCAUCGACUUGUGAUUUCGUCGAUUUCAUCGGUUUUUCCGACGAAUUCCACUUAGCCGUCACUUGCACACUCCACCCCGACCUCCAUUCUCUCAUUUCCACAAAAAAUACGUGAGUUUUUGGCCUGGAUUUCACAAAAAAUUGCGUCGAGGGCUUUGUGGGUGCACGGUGUCAAUUUCGUCAUUUCUAAAAGGUUUUUCGUCAACCACUGCCACCCUUAGGCGUCUUUUGAGUCCAAGAACAUAGCCUAAAUGAGUUUGGGGGUUGCAGAGCUGCGAAUUCGACAAAUCGAGGAACACCCAUUUCUAGGGUUCCGAUGGAUCGAGGGUGUUUUCAGGCGUUUCUCGGUCAAAUUGGACUUUGGCCUAGGUAUGAAAGUUGUUUCCCUUGUUGUGAUCUACAAUUCUGUAAAAUUUGGUAAUUUUUAGAGUUAGGUGAAUUUUUUGGUGAGUCGAGGCGACACAUGGCCCGAAGAACCACUUGACCUUUCUUGGCUAAAUUCAAUACCCUGAUUCCAUAUGUGACUUGUAAUUGAUGAAAUCCCGUCGUUCGAACAUAGUUUUGAUAGAGGCUGCCACUUGAUCAUUAUAUGAAUUGACGAUCCAACCGUUGGAUCGACACCAAACUUUAGUGCGUUAUAGUACGUAAUAUUUGAGACAUUAGUAACUUAGCGAUCAGGAAUCUGAUGUACGGAUCUUUCCGAAUUGAAUUUCUAAGUUUGUAAAAUCAAACAUUGGCCACCAUUUAAUUUUAGCGAUUGGCGGAGAUCUGACAGUCGGAUUGUUCUGAAAUUUUAGGAUAUUGUUCUAGGAGAUUAUUGAGAGUCUUGGGAAGUUAUGCAUCGGAGAUCCAUGGGCAGAUGUUCUAGAUCGAAUUAUAUAGGGUUGUGGACCCCACCGUUGACAGAGAGUUGACUUUUGGUCAAUAUGUUACGAAUUGAUCUUAAAUAAUAAAAUUAGUAUUACUAGAUACUAAGUAGGGCUUAGUGGGCCUAUAUGGGUUGGUGAGCUAUCACAGGUAAUAUAUACCUCGGUAUACGUGUAUGGGAUGCUUUAUGGUGAUAUAUAUAUGUGUGUGUAAUUAACUUCUUGAUAAUACGAAUGAUACGAAUGAUACGAAUGAUAAUUUUUAUGACAAUGUGAGCCUAGAAACCUAUUAGAAGUAUCCUGGUAGAACUUGUAUGCUUAUGUGACAUGUUAGUUAGUGGCCAUGAGGAAUUGAUAGUGCAGGUGAUUACGUUGUAAAUCAUAGAGGUUGAGAUAUACGAGUAAGUAGGUUGUGUGGUGAUAAGAAUGGAUCAUGUAAUAAUGUGGUACGUGGGUGGUCCUGCUUGGUUAAUCUACAUUAGGGGACCACGCCAUGUGAUGCAGGGGUAUGGUCCGGUUUGGUUAAUACACAUUAAGGGACCAUACGCAUCAUAGGGGUGACCCUGCUUGGUUAAUCCGCAUUAGGGAGUCACUGCCUAGGCCAUUUCUUUAUUUCCAUAGUUGGUCUUACUUGGUUAAUCCGCAUUAGGGGACCAUACUAUGGACGAUCCUACUUGGUUAAUCUGCAUUAGGGGACCAUAUGCAUCAUGGGGGUGACCCUGCUUGGUUAAUCCAUAUUAGGGGGUCACUGCCUAUUCCAUUUCUCUAUUUCCAUAGUUGGUCAUGCUUGGUUAAUCUGCAUUAAGGGACCAUACUAUGGGCGGUCCCAAUUGGUUAAUCCGCAAUAAAGGAUCAUACUAUCGGAUACAUGCCUAUGGUUCUACUUGGUAUAUCUGCAAUAGGGGACCAUACGCAAUCUAUGAGUGAUUAUACUUGAUAUAUCCGCGAUGGGUGAUCAUUGCCUGCACAGUUGGAUUAUGCUUAUGAUUCUGCUUGGUAUAUUCGCAAUGGGAGACCAUACACAUUUUAGGGGUGAUGAGGAUUAGUUGUACUUGGUACAUUUCGAUAGGAGCCAUAUUUUAGUCGAAUUUCGUUGAGUGGUUCGAAAUCCUUACUCUUGCUUAUUUCCACAUAAUUAGUCUCGAACCCUAGAUUCGAGUGAAUGAGGAUUACUCACAGUAGACCUUAUGAAUAUAAAUUAGAUUUACCAUGUUAUUACUUAUAAAUCAAGUAAGGAAUUAUGUAGGGUUCUUUAAAUUAAUUCAUGAAAUGAUAUGUUACCUCAUUAAUUGAUUAACGUAGUUAAAUGUUAUUAUUAUGCAUCCUUGAUUCAUGAAAUUGAUUAAUUUACAUGAUUGUGGAAUGACAUUGGUUAUGGUUGGUGUUACUAUGAUUAGAUUAGUUGAUUAAUGUGGAUUGAGAAUAAUAUUGUGCUUCAUUGGUUCUUUGAUAUGAUACAUGUUGUGAAUUGAGGUAUCAUGUUGAAAACAUAGUGAUUUAUAUGAUCGAUGGAAUGGAAAUCUUGAAUGUCAUGUGGGUUUAUUUUGUAGCCCUGAACCUGGUAAUUUCAUGCUUUUCAAGUUCUAAUAAUUGAUUGAGGAAUGCUCUACUUUUAUGCUUAAACGUACUGUGAUAAACUCAGAGUGUAGUGAAUGGUGAACUACGAAUGACUUGAUCCCGUCUUUGGGUACAUAGGCAGUCUAACACAAAGGUUAGAUGCAGCCAUGAAAUAAAAGAAAAUGACUGCGUGGUUAAAUCAUAUUAUUUUUUUUCUUGUCUCGGAGACGAGACAUGAUGAAUAAACUAAGAUGUGCUGAUAUCACGUGUCGAUCUUGGACGUAUGUCGGGAUCGGGGCAUGACAAAAGUGACCACCGCCAUAAUCACCACCAUUGUUGCCACCACCACCACACUACAAUUGUGCCACCACCACCACCACCAUUGCCAUUGUUACCACCAUGCCAUCACCCCCACCAUAAACACAACCGCCACCACUGCUACCACAACUGCCAUCAUCACUGUUAUUGCCACCCCUACCACCGAUGUUGCCUCUGCAGCCCAACCACCACACCCCUUUAUUGGCACCACCACCACCAGCACCACACCAUCACAACCCUUGCCCUUAUCACCAUUGUCGUCGUCAUCACCAAUAUUGUUACGUCUAUUUUUGUCAUUAUAUACAAUUAUAAAUUAUCAAACGCUUUUACACUGUUUUUUAUACUCACAACACUUCUAAAAAUAUAGUUCAUCAAACACUAAACAACUUUAUUUUGUACCAGAUUAUUCUUAAAGCACAUCAGAAGCAGGUUUUUAAAAAAACACAUCAAUCUCAAAAUGGCCUUAAGAUUAUGGGUUUUUCAAUUGAGGUAAAUAUAUUAUGUAUUUGACCAAAACGAUUUUAAAUAAUUUGUCAUAAGAUGACGCGAAAGAAGAACGGAAAUGUGACACAUGAAAUUGAACCAAAGCAAAUGAUUUUCUUGGGUUUUAACACCCAUAUAUUUUUUUGUUGGUUUAUCAUUUUCACCAAGCUCCACCUCAUCUAUAAUCUUUAUGUAUUAUGUUCCGAUCCCGAAACCAAGCUCCACCUCAUCAAUAAUUAAAUAAUUUGAUGGCAUUACUUUUGUUUCCUUUCUCAAUUUAAAGGCCCAAACAAGAAACAAAGCAACACUAGACAAAGACCACUGCUGUAUAAUGGGUGUUUUAGAAACUCAAAAGGAAAGAAACUCAAAAGCUUCAAUUUGUUUGUCGUGCUCUUUUAACUUCCACUUUUACUGUUAUACAAGCGAAAACAAGAGAGAUUUAAUAUGAGUAAAGGGAUACUUUACUUCUUGAGAUACAAGUUUACUGUUGUAAUCUAGCAAGGUUUCUUCUAAGGAUCUUGGCUUUCUUUAUCUGUAAAGAAGAUGGGUUUUUGGUUGUUUAAUUAAUUUCUACCCAGAAUUGCAAGAUAAAAAGGGAUACAAAGGAGAAGACACACACACACGUGUUUUUUUAAAGAUGAUUACAUUUCCUGGAUAGAACUGAGAAGAUAUAUAAACCGGCAAACAAGUUUAUUUAUCUUAGGAAAGUAACAGUAUUUCCAUAUUCACUUUCAUGUUAUUACAACUUUCAUCUUAUUACAACUUUGAUGUCGAAAAUUAGAAAAUUUAAGGAAGGUGGUUUUCUUAUCAGUUAGGGUUUCUAUAAUGCGCGUUGAAUUCUUUAUCUAAGUAAGUUUUUAUCUGUUAGAUCACGACGGCUCACUGUCAAAUUAAAUGAAAAGUAAUGAAAGCACAAAACAGAAAACAAAAUAUCGUAGUUGACUGCUGGUAGGAUAAAUUUGCAGUUAAAUUUCAUCGAAAACAUUAAACUUGACAAGGAUUACCAGAACCAUAAAAUUACCACAUAACAAGUACACAAAGGAAACGAAAAACUUGAAACAAAAGUUCACAAACAAAUAACCAACGACAUAAGAAAACAGACUGCAUACUUUUAUUUAGACCAUUUUUUAGUACCCUCAAAACUAAUUGGCAAGUUAGUUAAUCCCCAUAAGUGACAAUGCUGUCCAUAAUCUUGGCCACUACCUCCUUAGAAUCCCUCAGUUUUUUUAUGCUUUUGUUAAGCUUCUCACGCUUUACUGCCACUGCCGGGGACUCCUCCAACAUCCUCUCAAUUCCCCCACCGUAAGGUCCCAACAACUCAUUCACAAUCUCAGCUUCCAUCUCUUUGUUCACAAGGUUGAAAACAGACAGCUGCAAGUGCAAUGCCAUGCAGUCCACAAGCCUCCUCAAAACAACCUUCCAAUAAGCAAUCAUUCUCAUUUUAAGGUCAUAAGCUUGAGCUAACACAUGCGGGUACUUCCUCAGAACACCGACUUCCACUUCCCCGAUGCCUUCUAUAUCUAUGAUAGAAGGCUUCUUCUCAUCAGUUAAGACUCCAUGAAUGAAUUCGUUUUGACUAGCCAUCAGCUUGUUCCAUUCGGAAACAUAAUCACCAUCACAUGUAUAAUCUGUCAGCUUUUCCAUCUCUACAAGCUCCAGCAUCCACUUGAUUGACCUCUCCUUCAUCUUGGCCAUUAGACUAUGGCCGGCACGCCUUGCUGACAGCUGCAGCUGAUGAUAGUUAUCCGUAUAAUGCAUCAACACAGAAAUAACCACCUCUUCAAUGUAGUUCCACACUUUUUCCUCAAAUGCAAUCGGAAUACUCGAAAUUUCAUUCACUUUUGCCUGCAAGAUAAUGAGGAAAGCAUUGCGUGGAAGGAAGUUCGGAAGUGAAAUACCUUUGGCCUCCUCCAAGAUCCUGAUCUCCUCCAUCAAGAAGUUGCUCUUUGCAUCAGUUUCAGCACAUCUGUGAAGUUCAUCCGAGUACUGGUUGAGCAUCUCAACCAAUCUAGCAGUGCAGUGCAUGCGAUUGUCUUCCGCGUACUCCUGAAAUUCUCCUCUCAAAAGAAUCUUCCUAAGCGAUUCCUUAGCCAAGCCAGUGAUUUGCAUAAAAGCCGUCAUGGCCUCAGCAACCGAUGAAAGACUCUUUGGCAUUUUGUUCAGCUCCAUAAUGCAGAAGUUCAGCCUGUCAUUGAUCUUCUUCACUAUCUCAGGUAUAUUUCUUGCUAUGCUGUUUGCUUGAAUUUGGACCAGCUUCUGUGCUAAAACUGGAAUGCCGACAAUGGACUUGUCAAUCUUCGAAAGCAGAGGAUGGGUUUGAAAUAGUUCAUGAGCCAUCACCGCUGCCUCCUCAUCAGUUUCGUCACCAAUCCUGUUCCUUACACAGACAUAACCAAGACCAAUGUUUACAUCAUCUCCAGUGACCUUCUCAAGUAGUCCUUCCGGUGCCUUGUCCACUUUCGUAACCACAGCGAGCGUCCUCUCACCAGUUUUAUCUACACUUUGUGACAUCCGGAUUGACUCACACGUAGUAAAAUCCACCGUAGCAGACAAUACAUUCAGAAUAAUACUUUCCUCCGGCUUAAUAUACUCCAUGAUCAUAUCUUUGAUCUGAUCAUAGAUAUUUUCAGGUUGGCCAUGGACUGGAACCCUUGUGAUUCCCGGAAGAUCAACCAUAGUCAGAUCCGGAACCCCAUACUUCUUCACCAACAAAGUAAGUGGCGUGUUUGAAAUUCCCUUACCUCCCCCCGCAAUAGAAUUAGUAGCUUUCACAAUAUCUUUGGUGAUAUUUUCUUCAUCAGUACGAUCAACUCUGCCAUUGUACUCCAAGGAAAGUUCAGGCUGAGGACUCGAGUGGUGUUCGAGCCUCAUAAUAAGAGGCACUCUCGUGCAGAUGCCUUGGCCCCGAGGUAGGCUGAUGCCGGCCAAGGAUUCGAGCACGCUAGACUUCCCGGAUGACUGGUCUCCGACCACCACAAUCGUUGGCAGCUGAAUGCCUUCAUCCAUCACCUUCAAGCUGCGUAACUUGUCUACCGCAUCCAGAAGAGGGCGGAUCUUGUCGUUAUAGGACGACACAAUGGGUGCGCAUUUGAGGGGUACUGCGUCUAGUCCUGCCUGAACCAUUGCGAGGGAGCCUUCACCGUUUAUAACUGUGCGACUCGAUUCCAUUUUCCUUGGUCCUUGCGUUUCUGAAUUAUAGCAAGUCAAAACAAUGGUGAAAAAUCUAGAGGGAAACCGAGAUUGUAGAGAGAUGAGAGAGAAUUCGAAGAUGGAAAAUGUUCUGUAUUGGGUUUAUGACUUAAUGGAGUAAAAUGUUCUAUUUAUAGCUACUGCUAUAUAUCAUUCUUAGCCCUUAAGCAACUUAACUGACUCUCAAUCAACAAUAGCAACACAUCUAACAAAAAUGCUACUUUUCCGAUAUAUUUGUACCAUCAUUUGCUUACAUUGAUAAAUCGGACUCAUACUCAUAAGCUGACAUGGCAGCCACAUGACUUAAAAGUAAGAAGAUUACUUGUCAGCGAAGAUAUCAGUCAGGAAGAAGUGAGAAAGCUGGGUUUAGUAAGUGCCUUAGGCUUAAAGGCUCCUAGUUGUAUGUAUAAUUGUUCAGCAAAACCUAUCGAAGUAAAUGACAACCAGCCUUUUCAAAACCGCAUGCUGAGAGAGUUGUGAUUUGGACUUCCAAACGUUCAGCAAACCAAACCGCUUGCGAGCCUUUGAACUUCUAAACCCUAAUCAGUGUAAAUGUAAUAUGGACAGUUAACUGAUAACCAUUUUUUGUGCUUGAUGCUCUUGAACUUCAGUCAACCUUUAUAUAUUAUUCAUUCAAAUAAUCGAUGACUAGCUAGCCAAUGUAAGUUGUAACCCAACAGAGACGAGAUGUUGAAGAAAAUUAAAUAUUUUUUGUAAUUUGGUAAGACAAACAAAGGCACCCAUUGGAGAAAGGGAAGUGCUAGCAGCCUUUGCCCUAACAUUUGUGUUUGGACCUCUUCACUUUAACAACUAACAGGUAUCAUUUUCUAUACAAAAAAGCAAGAAUUUUAAAGCUUUUGUCUAGGAAUUAACGAUGAGAAAUAUAAAAUAUACAUUAUUAUGUCAUUCAUUAAAAUGAAAAUUUUCAAAUGCAAAAGUUAGUGCAAAAGUGUAUUUCUCUUAGAAAAAUUCAAUCUAACAACCAAAAUUAAAGUUAACAAAAAAAAGUAGAGAACUUAAUUCAUAUUGAAUCUACCCUUAUGAUCGUGCUCCAGAAAAAUUGAGAAGGAUGCAGGGUUUUUGAAUUUGGUAAAGCUUAAGGAUUAAGGUUGCUGUUUUUUUUUUUUUUUUUUUUUUUUUUUUUUUUUUUUGGAGAAAAGUGGAAGAGAAAGAGCCUUUGAAGAUUCCUUUCUGAGUUUUCACAUUGUGGGGAUUUUGUUUCACUUUUACCAUUGUAAGACCAUAGAUAAUGGAUGCUGACAUGGUUGGACAGAUGUCGAAUAGUGGUGUGGUAUGCCCAAUCGGUUUAGGUUGCUGAAAAUAGCAACUUUAACUAAAAAUAGUGCAGGACUUUAAAAGAGGAAGGGGAAAUAAGAGUUUGAGGAAAAAGAGGCAACUUUAAUUCAUCAUUUCAUAGGUUCUUUACGCUCUCCAUUAUUACAUAUUUAUGCUCCUCAUAAAAGAGAAAAUAGAGUUUUAACGAAAAGCCCGCGGUACUGUUCACUUUAAUGAAAAACCACAUUUUUACACUAAAAAGUCAAAUCUGGUACUAUUCAUAUUACUCUUUAUUUUGUUCUUAUCGUUAAAAUUCAAAGUUUUAAAGCAUUUUUCAUUAGUUUUCCUAAGAGAACAACCCUAGCUACUUGGACAUAAAAAAAAAGGCUAGUACGGGCAAGUUGCAAGAGGAGAAGUAGUGGGCUCAAGUAAAUGGGCUUAAUAACUCCCCCCUCUCCUUGAGAAUAGGCCUGACCUUAGGUCAAGAAAUCGAGGUAACGGGCCAAGAUGUCGUCAGCUUCCUCCCAGGUGACAUCUUCAGUGGGUAGGCCAACCCACUUGAUCAACCAUUUUGUCGCAGCUUUAUUUUUUUUUCUUGAAUAUGCCCUUGUCUAAAACUCUUUCUGGUUGCCAGUGUAGAACCCCAGUGGAGUCGAUAGGAGGCAAAACUGACAGUGGAGGAGAAAUACUACCAAUCUUUUGUUUAAGGAGAGACACAUGAAAGACGGGGUGGAUUUUGGAGUCUAAAGGCAAACGAAGCUGAUAUGCUACGAAACUGAUGCGCUUAGUUAUCUGAAAAGGUCCAUAGAACUUGGGUGCCAGCUUGUUUGUUGUUCUAGUAGCCACUGAUUGUUAGCGGUAUGGUUAAAGCUUCAGGUAAACCCAGUCACCAACAUUAAAUUCCCGCUCAGUUCUCUUGUUAUCAUAGACUUGUCUCAUUUUGUUCUCUGCAAGCUGCAAAUUUGUUCUCAUAAGACAGAUUAAUUUGUCCUUAUCCUGUAUUGCAGCAUCAAUUGAGUGUACCGUCGUGGAGCCGAGCAUAUACAUGCAAAGGUGGUUCAAUGUCAUAAACAGCCUGAUAUAGAGACAUUUUGAUGGAAGAUUGGAAGCUUGUAUUAUACCACCAUCUAGCCCAGGGAAUGAGAGAAGACCAAUUGGUGGGUUUGUCUAUUGAGAAACAUCGAAGAAAAUGUUCCAAUGUGCAGUUAAGGACUUUCAUUUGCCUAUUCGUUUGAGGGUGGUAACCUAAACUUAGGCAAAGUUUGUUGCCUUGGAGUUUAAAGAACUCUUGCCAAAAGUUACUAAGAAAAUUGGGUCGCGAUCUGAAACGAUCUAUUUUGGCAUACCAUGGAGUCAGAAAACCUCAUUGCUGAAAGUAUCAGCUACAAAGGCAACUGUGUAUGGGUGCUUUAAUGGGAUAAAGUGGCCAUACUUUGAUAGGCGAUUGAUGACAACUAGGAUCACGGUGUACGCGUUGGAAAAUGGGAGCCCUUUGACAAAAUCAAGAGUGAUGUCCUGUCAUAUGCCAGUGGGGAUGAGCAAGGGAUGCAGUAACCUAGGAGGGUGUUUUGUAUGCAUUAAGCCACAAUUUUUUUUUGUUUCCUUUCGAAUUCCCGGCCAUAAAACUUUUUUGGAGAGUCUUUUGUAUGUUCAAAGGAAGCCCAAGUGACCAUCUUAGAGAGAUGCAUGGAAUUCAUCCAAGAGUUUAGGUUGCCAUUGGGAUGUGAGUAGUGGGACAAAGAUCUGUUGCUUGUAGUGCAACACAUCAUUUAUAAUUGAGAACCCUUUGAUUGAAGUGUUGGGUAUUGGAACUAAAAGAUUCCAAACCUUUUGCACUUCUAGAUCCUAUGCAUAAGACUGUUGCAACUGAGGAAUGCAAUCAAAUAUAGGGGUAGAGAGGCCUAUUAAGAGCAAAAGUUCUUGUUGGCAGGAGAUAGCAUAUGGAGCACUGUUUUGAGAACCCGACCUAUACUCGACCGAGUAGUUGUACCCCAACAAUUUCACCAGCCAUUUUUAAUUUUUUUCACAAAAACUGUAAGUUAUAACUCACGUUUUCCAAUCGAUUUUAAGAACUUUUACAAGAUUCAUUAUAAGCCAAAAUUUGAGUCGUUUUAGUCGCACCACAUGUUUUCUAAAAUUAAUUUAGGACAUCCCAAAUAUUUUUCAACACCUACAAAUUUCUUUGGUGGCUUCACUAUUAGUUUAUACUAUUUUUCUAACUCAUAGUAACAACGAAAAAAUUUCUCAGCAUGACCAAAAUGAUUGAUGGUGCAUCAGAGACUACUUUUAUCGAUUUCAAAUUUGAAGGACUAAAGUAAGGAGUUAUGCCAGAAAGUGGCCCUCUACCACAGUGGUGGAGAGGAGUAUUGGCCUUACACUACGACAGAGCUUCGAACCAUGACGGCUCCCUAAUCUAACAUCUAAUUAAAAAAUCUAUUGUUUGACGAAGAAAAAAAAGUAAGGAGUUAUGUCAAUUUCAAAAUCCGUUUUGGCCCCUUUUUAACAUGGAUGGAGGGUUUCAAAUUCCUUGUUACUACCUUUUAGGGGUUUUAUUAAAUUUUAUGAAUUUUUUUGUUGGUAUAUUUGAGCGUGUCUUUAAAAUGAUUAAAAUUGUUUUAAUAUAAUAAAAUAAAAAGUGUUUAUGACAACAUUUUGACCAAAAAAAGGACUUUAUGGAGAGGUCUAUGAGCAAAAUGCAACUCUUACUACCUAUUUGUACUAUAAUUUGUACCACUAAUAAAGAUGAGACUCACAUGCGUUGGCGAGCCUUACCUCUAUUAGAGAUAUAGUAGAAAUAUAUGGUAAAUGUAGCAUUACUCGUCUAUGAGUGUUUUCAACGGAGUACAAUUCUCUGUCAUCCUAUUCCUAGUGUGGUUUAGUCCAUACUAAGUGUAUGGAUUCUAACAAACGAUCAAUUAAAACAUGAAAUCUAAUAUGGACAUUUAAUUAAAUGUUUAUUAAUAUUUACGGUGCGGUUCGGUUUCGGUGUAGUUUUCAAAAGCCAAAACCGAAACCAAACCGUUUUCUAUGUUGCGGUUCGGUUUCAAAACCGAAACCGUUUCAAAACCGCAAAACCAAACCAUUCGGUGCGGUUUGAUUUGGUUCGUGUUUUGGUUUCGGUUUUCGGUUCUAAGUGCCAAUCCCUAGGAGAGCGUGUCCCUUUUUUUUGAAAAAUAUGGAUCAUUUCCCUUAAGCUCCUCCUACACACACACACACACACACACACACACACACACACACAUAUAUAUAUUAAAAUGAUAACCUUUCUUGGAUAGAACUGAGCAUAUAAACAUGCAAAGGUAAUGUUAGAGAGACCAAAGUUUUAAACAAAAUAAUGUGUUACCAAUAAAAAAUAAGCACGUUAAUCAACGCUAAAGUAAUAAUUCAAUUAUCAAUAAGCACAUCAUUUGGUUUGUAAAUUUGAUUUAAAAAAUUUGGUCUCCCUAACAUUAUCCAACCUGCAAACAAGUUUAAUUAUCUUAGACAAGCAACAUUAUUUACAUAUUUACUUUCAGGCAAUUACAAAUUUGACGUCGAAAAGAAGAUUUAAGGAAAAUGGUUUUCUUAUUAAUUAGGAUUUUUACAAUGCGUGUCGCAUUCUUUACCUAAAGUUUUUAUGUCUGUCAGAUUGGUUAUGAAAGCUCACUGUCAUAUUAAUAAACGGUAUUAUAAGCAGAAAACAUGAGACAAAAAAUAGGAGUUAAACUGUAUGUAAGAGGAAAUCGCACUUAAAUUUCAUUAAUAACAGUAAACUUGACAAGGAUUACCACAAUCAUACGACUACGGACUAUUACACAACAAGAACACAAGGGAAACAAAAGAACUUAAAAACAAAAGUUGACUAACAAACAACCACCCACAUCAGACAACAGAAAGCUAAUUGCCAAGUUAGUUAAUCACCAUAAGUGAUAAUGCUGUCCAUAAUCUUGGCCACCACCUCCUUCGAAUCCCUCAGUUUUUUUAUGCUUUUGUUAAGCUUCUCACGCUUUACUGCCACUGCCGGGGACUCCUCCAACAUCCUCUCAAUUCCCCCACCGUAAGGUCCCAUCAACUCAUUCACAAUCUCAGGCUCCAUCUCUUUGUUCACAAGGUUGAAAACAGACAGCUGCAAGUGCAAUGCCAUGGAGUCCACAAGCCUCCUCAAAACAACCUUCCAAUAAGCAAUCAUUCUCAUUUUAAGGUCAUAAGCUUGAGCUAACACAUGCGGGUACAUCCUCAGAACACCGACUUCCACUUCCCCGAUGCCUUCUAUAGUUAUGAUAGAAGGUUUAUACUCGUCAGUUAAGACUUCAUGAAUGAAUUGAUUUUGACUAGCCAUCAACUUCUUCCAUUCGGAAACAUAAUCAUCAUCACAUGUAUAAUCCGUUAGCUUUUCCAUCUCUACAAGCUCCAGCAUCCACUUGAUUGACCUUUCCUUCAUCUUGGCCAUUAGAUUAUGGCCGGCACGCCUGGCUGACAGCUGCAACUGAUGAUAGUUCUCCGUAUAAUGCAUCAACACAGAAAUAACCACCUCUUCAAUGUAGCUCCACACUUUUUCCUCAAAUGCUAUCGGAAUACUCGAAAUUUCAUUCACUUUUCCUUGCAAGAUAAUGAGGAAAGCAUUGCGUGGAAGGAAGUUCGGAAGUGAAAUACCUUUGGCCUCCUCCAAGAUCUUGAUCCCCUCCAUCAAGAAGUUGCUCUUUGCACCAGUUUCAGCACAUAUGUGAAGUUCAUCCGAGUACUGUUUGAGCAUCUCAACCAAUCUAGCAGUGCAGUGCAUGCGAUUGUCGUCCGCAUAGUCCUCAAAUUCUCCUCUCAAAAAAAUCUUCCUAAGCGAUUCCUUAGCCAAGCCAAUGAUUUGCAUAAAGGCUGUCAUUGCCUCGGCAACAGAUGAAAGACUCUUUGGCAUUUUGUUCAGCUCCAUAAUGCAGAAGUUCAGCCUGUCAUUGAUCUUCUUCACUAUAUCGGGUAUAUUUCUUGCUAUGCUGUUUGCUUGAAUUUGGACCAGCUUCUGUGCUAAAACUGGAAUACCGACAAUGGACUUGUCAAUCUUCGAAAGCAGGGGAUGGGUUUGAAAUAGUUCAUGAGCCAUCGCCGCUGCCUCCUCAUAAGUUUCGUCACCAAUCCUGUUCCUUACACAGACAUAACCAAGACCAAUGUUUACAUCAUCUCCAGUGACCUUCUCAAGUAGUCCUUCCGGUGCCUUGUCCACUUUCGUAACCACAGCGAGCGUCCUCUCACCAGUUUUAUCUACACUUUGUGACAUCCGAAUUGACUCACACGUAGUAAAAUCCACCGUAGCAGACAACACAUUCAGAAUAAUACUUUCUUCCGGCUUAAUAUACUCCAUGAUCAUAUCUUUGAUCUGAUCAUAAAUAUUUUCAGGUUGGCCAUGGACCGGAACCCUUGUGAUUCCCGGAAGAUCAACCAUAGUCAGAUCCGGAACCCCAUUCUUCUUCACCAACAAAGUAAGUGGCGUGUUCGAAAUUCCCUUACCUCCUCCCGCAAUAGAAAUAGUAGCUUUCACAAUGUCUUUGGCGAUAUUGUCUUCAUCAGUACGAUCAACUCUGCCAUUGUACUCCAGGGAAAGUUCAGGCUGAGGACUCGAGUGGUGUUCCAGCCUCAUAAUAAGAGGCACUCUCGUGCAGAUGCCUUGGCCCCGAGGGAGGCUGAUGCCGGCCAAGGAUUCGAGCACGCUGGACUUCCCCGAUGACUGGUCUCCGACCACCACAAUCGUUGGCAGCUGAAUGCCUUCAUCCAUCACCAUCAAGCUGCGUAACUUGUCUACCGCAUCCAGAAGAGGGCGGAUCUUGUCGUUGUAGGAUGACACAAUGGGUGCGCAUUUGAGAGGUACUGCGUCUAGUUCUGCCUGAACCAUGGCGAGGGAGCCUUCACCGUUUAAAUCUGUGCAACUCGAUUCCAUUUGCCUUGGUCCUUCCGUUUCUGAAUUAUAGCAAGUGAAAAUAAUGGUGAAAAUUCUAGAGAGAAACCGAGAUAAUUUCAAGCUUAAUUAGCUAAAGAAUUGAGGUUCUCUGGCAGUUUACCCUCCAGUUUAUAACAUUUUUUUACUAAGAAUGUUUUCAGGUAAGGGAAAACACCACUUUCGUGAUCCAGUAGGAAACGGAGCCUUUCUUUCAACCGCUGCAUUUCCACAAACUCAAGAGACUCUAAUACCCGAAAAGGCAAGUUACGCUCUCCUUAAAACUCAGCACCAAUUCGAAGAUGGAGUAAAAUGUUCUGUAUUGAGUUUGUGACUUAGUGGAGUAAAAUGUCCUAUUUAUAGUGAUGCAGUACAAGACUCUCAUGCAUGUAUUGGAAUCUACCAAGAGUUGGAACCAUCAAAUAUAUUUAAUGGAGUUUUAGAGCAACACAACUAAUUAAGUAGUCAUUUAAGACCAUUUUAAAUAUUUUGGGUAGAGCAAAAGUCCAAUUCGGACUAGAGUUUCAUUGUGUUGUAUUCCUUAUAAAUAUAUGUACUAAUUGUAUUCCUUAAAUGACUACUUAAUUAGUUGUGUUGCUCUAAAACUCCAUUAAAUAUAUUUGAUGGUUCCAACUCUUGGUAGAUUCCAAUACAUGCAUGAGAGUCUUGAUUACUACAUCAUUUAGCUACUGCUAUGUGUCAUUCUUAGCCUUCAAGCAGCUUAACUGACUCUCAGUCAACAAUAACAACACAUCCAACAGCUUAAGGAUUGCUGUUUUUAGUGGAGAAAUGUGGAAGAGAAAGAGCCUUUGAAGAUUCCUUUAUGAGUUUGCACAUUGUGGGAGAUUUUGUUUCACUUUUACCAUUGUCAGGCCAUAAUCAUGGAUGUUGACAUGGUUGGACAGAUGUCGAAUGAUGGUGUCAUUGGGCCCCCACCAUCAAAGAAAAAGCAGUCCCCAUGGGGCAUCUAAGCGGAAAGAGAAUCCAUUAUAGUAUAAAGAUUUAGCAUUCACACUCAUAGCUUCGACAUCAAUCAUUUUCUUCCUUGCCGAUGUUCUUUAUAUUUUGCUUUCUUUAUUUCUUGAUAAGUUGUUUCUGGAUGAUAUUUUUUUAGAAUCUCUUGGAUGUCGUAUGCGUGCUACGUCACUCGUUUGUAUCAAAACACGCAUAAACAUUAUUUCUUUCAAUCGAGAUUUAAAAUUAAAAGUCUACAUACACUUUUUUGUUGUAAUUUGACUGAUGGACCAUAAUGUUGGAUUGUGAACUACCUUAGUACAUAUGUGUAGAAGUGUGGCAGGUGACGUAAGCAUAAAUAAUCAUUUUAACAUGCAUGUUAGCAAAAUGUUAAAUUGUGUUUAAUCAUAUUAAAUUAAUUUAUGUAUUGGUUUUGUUCAGGUAUAAUAAAAUUAAAAACACAUGUAUAAACUUAGUGUAAGUUUUAGGAUUCUCACCUUUAGAUUUCAUAGGUGGACAAAUUCAAUGUUGUUAAAGAUCCCAAGUGUUAGCCCUCAACUAGUGUCUACACGAAUAAAUAUCUGGCUAGUGAAGCAAAAAAACGACAAUUUGCUAGAACUUUAUCCAUCAGGUAGGUGUUGCCAUAAAGGGAUUUGGUAUGGUGUUUUGUUUUUCAAUUCUCUAAAUUGGAAAACCUAUUUCUUUUCUCUCUAAUAUCUAUUUGCGAUUAUUGAAUUCUCACACUAUGUUACAUAGACCCCUUAGGCUUAUAAAAAGAACAAUCUGUAAUUAAGCCAAUUGUGUGUUGCACGCCCUAGGGAAAUUUUUUAGAAACUUUUGGGUUCACUAGUCUGUAUCACGUCACUCGCUUGUCUCAAGAAGAGAUCCUUUCACAUCACCAGUUUACCACACUAAAAUUUUGAAUUUAUUAGAUGGAUAAUACAAUUUGUUUAAUAAAUGACCAACUUUACAAAUAUUUUUGUGAAGUGAUUUCACACAUAUUUUUUAGCUUUUACACACCCAUGUUUAAUUUUAGAUGUUGAUUCCGUUUGAUUUAUUUAAUCUGGUGGCCAUAAAUAAAGAGAGGUACGUGGAAAACUAAAAAUGGUGUGUGAAAAUCCUUGACACUACUAAGCAUGAAUUUUAGUAAGAUGAAAAAAGACCUUCGCUUGAUACCCGUGGGAGGACGUGACAUGACUUCCUUUAUUGAAGGAUGAGGAAUGCUAAUGUGACUUUCAAAAGUAGGACUUUCUAAUGACUCUCUGCCACCUCAUAGCUAGUUUAAUGUCAAUUCAUUCACGUGCCAACAUUAUAACACAAAUGCUAGGAAGGCUACAUUUAUAGACAAAAUUUGUAUACUAAAUGACAUGAAAGUUGAUGAUUAUAUUAUUAUUUAAGCGUUGAUAAACGUGCUCAUUUUCUAUUGGUAACAAGUCAUUUAGUUUUCAAAUUUUGUCUACAAAUUUAGUCUCCAUAGCAUUACCUGCAUUAUAAAGUAUUGUGCCAAAUAUAUGAGCUGACAAAGAGUCCAUAGAGAGUCUCAAUUUUGAGUCUCAUUAGCAUUUAUCUUCAAGAAUUUAUCCACAUUCUCCUCACGUAAUAAUUUCACCAAAAAUGUUUUCUAAAUGCUCACUUAUCAAGAUUAAACCCCCGUUUGGUAUUUUAUUUUUUGGGUAAAAGACUGUUUACUACCCUCAUGUUUCGUGGUUUUCAACAUUUAGUACAUCAUGUUUUUUUCGUCUCAGAGUCAUACCUAAAGUGUAAAUUUUGGGACAGUCUCAUACAUCCGUUAGUCAAACUGUUAAGUUUUUCGUUAACUGUGACGUGGCGCACUGACUGGGCGCCACGUGUCAUCCACGUUUUUUUUUUUUCUUUUUCUUUUUUCUUUCUUUUCUUUUCUUCUUCUUCCUUCUUCUUCUUCUUCCUCCGACUGCAACUUUUUUUUUUUUUUUUGCUUCUUCCUUUUCCUUCUUCCUUCCUUCCUCCUUCCUUUCCCUUUCUUCCCCUUCUUCCUUCUUCUUCCUUCUUCUUCCUCCGAAAUCUGGGGAAUGUUUUUUUUUUUCUUUCUUCUUCUUCCUCCUUCCUUCCCCUUCUUCCUUCUUCUUCUUUCUCCUUCUUCUUCUUCUUCUUCUUCCUCCGAAAUCUGGGGAAGUUUGUUUUUUUUUUUCUUUCUUUCUUCUUCUUCCUCCUUCUUCUUCUUCUUCUUCUUCCUCAAAAAAAAAAAAAAAAAAACACUUUUAUCUUUUCUUCCUCUUCUUCUUCUUCUUCUUCUUCUUUCUCUUUCCUCCUUCCUUCUUCUCCUUCUUCUUCUUCUUCUUCUUCUUCCUCCGAAUCUGCCCAGAUUCAAUUUUUUUUUUCUUCCUCCUUCUUCUCCUUCUUCUUCUUCUUCCUCCGAAUUUGGGGGAAGAUGAAAGUGUUUUUUUUUUUUUGAGGAAGAAGAAGAAGAAGAAGAAGAAAGAAAGAAAAAAAAAAAAAACAUUCCCCAGAUUUCGGAGGAAGAAGAAGGAAGAAGAAGGAAGAAGGGGAAGAAAGGGAAAGGAAGGAGGAAGGAAGGAAGAAGCAAAAGGAAGAAGCAAAAAAAAAAAAAAAAAAACAAAAACAGAAAGUUGCAGUCGGAGGAAGAAGAAGAAGAAGGAAGAAGAAGAAAAGAAAAGAAAAAAAAAAGAAAAAAAAAAACGUGGAUGACACGUGGCGCCCAAUCAGUGCGCCACGUCACAGUUAACGAAAAACUUAACAGUUUGACUAACGGAUGUAUGAGACUGUCCCAAAAUUUACACUUUAGGUAUGACUCUGAGACGAAAAAAACUUGAUGUACUAAAUGUUGAAAACCACGAAACAUUAGAGUAGUAAACAGUCUUUUACCCUUAUUUUUUUCAACAAAAGUUGCUUCACUUUAAAGUUAAGCAGUAAGAAUGUGUUUGGUAAAAAUAAAUUAUUUUGCUUAUAUUAAAAGUAAUGCAUGUCCUCCAGACAGCAACUUUUAAAAGCAGCAUGUAGGUAAAGCUGUUUUUAAUAAAAAGCAGAAUUGAGCUUUCAAUGAAUAUUUUUAAUUCCUGUAAUAUGCUCAAUAAUUUUAGAAAAUAACAUUAUUUAUUCUUGUAGGCACAUUUUAUCAUUGGAGAACAAAGUGACCACCACUAUAAACCCUAACCUCUUACACUACCAUUGCCAUGAUCACCACCAUUGUUGCCACCACCACCACACUACAAUUGCGCCACCACCACUACAACCAUACACACCACCGCUACCUUUGCCAUCAUUACCACCACACCGCCGCCGCCGCCGCCACCACCACCAUAAACACAACUGCCACCAUCAAUGUUGUUGCCACCCCUACGACCAAUGUUGCCUCUGCAGCCCAACCACCACCACCAUCCCAACCCUUACCCUUAUCACUGUUGUCGUCGUCACCACCAACAUUGUUACGUCUAUUUUUGUCAUUAUAUACAAUUAUAAAUUAUCAAACGCUUUUACGCCGUUUUUCAUACUCAACACUUUUAAAAAUACAAUUCAUCUAACACUCAACUGCUUUAUUUUGUAGCAGAUUAUUCUUAAAGCACAUCAGAAGCACUUUUUUUUAAAGCACAUCAAUCUCAAAAUGGCCGUAAGAUUAUGAGUUUUUCAAUUGAGAUAAAUAUAUAAUUUAUUUGACCAAAACGAUUUUAAAUUAUUUGUAAUAAGAUCACGCGAAAGAAGAACAUAAACGUUACACAUGAAAUUAAACCAAAGCAAAUGAUUUUCUUGGGUUUUAACACCCAUAUAUUUUUUGUUGGUUUAUCAUUUUCACCGAGCUCCACCUCAUUUAUACUUAAAGAAAUGUAUUAUGUUCCGAUCCAGAAACCAAGCUCCACCUCAUCAAUACUUGGAUAAUUUGAUGCAUUACUUUUGUUUCCUUUCUCAAUUUGGAGGCCCAAACAAGAAACAAAGCUACACUAGACAAAGACAACUGCUGUAUAGUGGGUGUUUUAGAAACUUAAAGGAAAGAAACUCAAAAGCUUCAAUUUGUUUGUCGUGCUCCUUUAACUUCCUCUUUUACUGUUAUACAAGCGAAAACAAGAGAGAUUUAAUGAGUAAAGGGAUACUUUACGCCUUGAUAUACAAGUUUAUUGUCAUGAUCUAGCAAGGUUUCUUCUAAGGAUCUUGGCUUUCUUUGUCUAUAAAGAAGUUGGGUUUUUGGUUGUUUAAUUAAUUUCUACUAGAAUUGCAAGAUAAAAAGGGAUACAAACACUACAAGAAAGCCGGGCUUAUGUGACGACAGAUAUUCGUCAUAGAAAAUAAAAAUGCGUCACAUUUGAUAAUAUGUGACGCCUUUACAGCGUCACUGCGAACGUCACCUAUGAUGCGUCACGGAAAGUAUAAGUGACUAAUUUUAAAAGCGCCACAUAUUUGUAGUAUAUGUGACACUGUUUUCGUCAAUUAAUAGGAGAUUGUGACGGAUUAGGCGUCACAAAAGAAUAAAUUAUGUGACCUAUAUAAUUCGUAAUGUAUGAAAUAGAUAAGUGACACUGAAGGCGUCACAUUUUUCUUCCAUUUGUGGCAUAGCUUGGGUCACUUAUGUCAAAAUAAAAUAUCUAUUUUGAAAAUAUAUGUGACAAACCAAUACAAUUCCCUAUUUAUAAUAUGAUGUUACAAUUCCUUGUUUAUAAAAAAGAAUCAAUUAUGUGACCUAUAUAAUUCGUCACUUAUGAAAUAGAUAACUAACACUGAAAGCGUCACAUUUUUCUUCCAUUUAUGGCACAGCCUGGAUCACUUAUGUCAAAAUAAAAUAUCUAUUUUGGAAAUAUAUGUGACAAACCAAUACAUAUUCCCUGUUUAUAAUCUGAUAUUACAAUUCAUUGUUUAUAAAAAAGAAUAAAUUACAUGACCUAUAUAAUUUGUCACUUAUGAAAUAGAUAAGUGACGCUGAAAGUGUCACAUUUUUCUUCCAUUUGUGGCGUAGCCUGGGUCAUUUAUGUCAAAAUAAAAUACCUAUUUUGGAAAUAUAUGUGAUAGACCAAUACAUAUUCCCUGUUUAUAAAGGAUCAAGGGACAAACAUUUUGACAAACAUAUAUAUAUAUAUAUAUAUAAUAUAUAUAUGUUUUUUUUUUUAAGAUGAUAACAUUUCCUGAAUAAAACUGAGAAGAUAUAUAAACCGGCAAGCAAGUUUAUUUAUCUUAAGAAAGUAACAGUAUUUCCAUAUUCACUUUCAGGUUAUUACAACUUUGACGUCGAAAAAAUAAGAACAUUUAGGGAAGAUGUUUUUCUCAUAAGUUAGGGUUUCUUCAAUGUUUGUCGGUUUCUUUACCUAAGUAAGUUUUUAUCUGUCAAAUUAGUUACGAAGGCUUACUGUCAAAUUGAAUGAAAGGUAAUGAAAGCAGAAAAUAGAAAACAAAAUAUCGGAGUUGACUAUUGGUAGGAUGAAUUUGAGUUAAAUUUCUUUGAAAACUUUAAAAUUGACAAGGAUUACCAAAACUAUACAAUUACCACAUAACAAGAACACAAAGGAAACUACGAGCUUGUUUGGUAUCCUAUUUGAAAAUUAUUGUCAUUUCUCAAAACAUUUCUUGAAAACAAUUUUCUUUAAGACUAAAAAACUUGACUGGUUUGCGAUUUACAAUUUUUAAAUCUUACAACUAAAAUUAGGCAAAGAGAUCUAAAAAGAGGGGAUCGUAGGAGAGGGAGAAAGAGGAGAGAAGAGGAAAGAAAGCAAGAGAUGAUUGAAGAAAAGAGAAAGAAGAGAGAGAAUCGAACAAAAGAGAGAGGAAGAGGAGUGAGAGAAAGAACAUAGAGAAUGAAAAGAGCAGAUUGAAAGAGAGACGAAACAUGUAAAAAAAUAAAAAUAAAGAGGAGAGAGAGAGAGAAGAAAAGAGAGAGAUUUGGAGUGAGAGGGGAGAAGGGAGAGAAGAAAAAAAAGUGUGAGUUUAAGUUUAAAAACUCUAAAAACUCACUUUUUAUGUUUUUAGAUAAUAGACUAUAUUUUUGAGUUAGUCUUGAGUUUAGUUUUUUAAGUAGUCUUACCAAAGACUAAAACUUGAAAAUUGUUUUUGAGUUUAAAAAAUUGGAUUCAAGGAAAGUAUCAAACAGACGCUAAAAAACUUGAAACAAAAGUUUACAAACAAACAACCAACGACAUAAGGAAAACAGACUGCAUACUUUUAUUUACACCAUUUUGUAGUACCCUCAAAACUAAUUGGCAAGUUAUUUAAUUACCAUAAGUGAUAAUGCUGUCCAUAAUCUUGGCCACUACCUCCUUAGAAUCCCUAAGCUUUUUUAUGCUUUUGUUAAGCUUCUCACGCUUUACUGCCAUUGCCGGCGACUCCUCCAACAUCCUCUCGAUUCCCCCAUCGUAAUGUCCCAUCAACUCAUUCAUAAUCUCAGCUUCCAUCUCUUUGUUCACAAGGUUAAAAACAGACAGCUGCAAGUGCAAUGCCAUGAAGUCCACAAACCUCCUCAAAACAACCUUCCAAUAGGCAGUCAUUCUCAUUUUAAGGUCAUAAGCUUGAGCUAAAACAUGCGGUUACUUCCUCAGAACACCGACUUCAACUUCCCCGAUGCCUUCUAUAGCUAUGAUAGAAGGUUUAUUCUCGUCAGUUAAGACUCCAUGAAUGAAAACAUUUUGACUAGCCAUCAACUUGUUCCAUUCGGAAACAUAAUCAGCAUUGCAUGUAUAAUCUGUCAGCUUUUCCAUCUCUACAAGCUCCAGCAUCCACUUUGACACGCCCUGAUCCGGAUGUCCUGGAGACAUCGGGAUAGUCACGUGCUGGCCGACACCCGAGGGGUGACGAAAGCCAUUUAAAAGGCAUAAGAACGAGAAAUAUGAAUUUAAUAUAACAUUUAAUAGGCAUUUAAGGAACGUGUUCAGAGCAUAUAACUAAUUAGAAUACUAGGAAAAAAAUGAUAUAAAAAUUGAAUAAACAAAAGGAGUGGGUCCUACACCGAGAGGACUCGAAGAUGCCAAUGUAGAAGUGUCUUGACGCCGGGAUUGUAUGCCUCGAUUCUAAGCCCUGAAGGGGGCGCAAAACAAAGGUGAGUGGACCAGUUUGAUAUACAUAUAAUAAAACAGUUAUCAACAUACUAACCCCCUGAUUUUUAUGAAAACACAUAUAUGUAUCAUGAUAAACAUAAGUUUUCCGAAACCUAGAAUGUCGUGCAAUAUCUCAAAUCAUAACUCGCAAAACAUAAUAAACACUAGUGUCAAAUGUCCACAUAUAUCCAUCCAGGCCCUAUGUCAUCUCCCCAUCCCUGAGCAUACAGUCAAAGAAAAUAUGACUUCAGGCCCUAUGCUAGCUCCACUGUCCCUGUUCUAAAUAGUCAGAGGGAAAUACACUCCAGGCCCUAUGCCAACUCCACCGUCGCCCGGGAUGGACCGAAAUCUAUCCCUACAUCCCGUAGCGGAAAUUGGGACAGCUAGGUAAUACAGAAUCAUCGCACAUAUAUUUAUUCAAAAGUAACAUCAUAUAUCAUUCUUAUAAACUCAUGCUUUUUAUGCGUGCAAUUCUACUAAUAAAGCAUGUAUUUUAGAAGGGGUCCACUCACAGUACUUCACCGUCGAAAGCCGCGCUGCUAACAAAGAUAGAAACGCCACAAUAAUUGCCCCUAAGCACAUAAACGUUCCAAUUAAUAAAUCUUUAUUAAAACAAUUGAAUUUGAGAAAACGGACGUCGAAAACGGAUUCAAGACGUUGAAUUACCUUAAGAAGGGUCCUGGAUAAAUUUCGUAAACGUCAAUAGAAUAUUCCACAUCAAGAGUUUGGGCCGGCUAGGGUUUAAGGGUUUAGUGCUUAAGGCCCUAGGUUAAAAAGGUUUGGGUUAGACUUUUAAAAAGGUUAGGCUUAGGUUAAAUAGGUUUAGGGCUUAGGAAGUUGGGUUGGGUCCUUAAGGGUUUUGGGUUUCUAGGUUAAAGGGUUAGGAAAUUGGGUUGAUAAAAAGGGCCUAGGGUAAAUAAUUGGGUUUGGGCUUAAAAGGGUCACGGAUUGGGCUGGAGACCCGUGGGUUUUGGGCUGGUUUCAAAGGACUUGGGUCGAGUUGAUUCGUUUUCAGGCCAAUGAAAUGGUCGAUUUCUGGGUAUCACUUCGAACGCCCAUAACUUCUUCGUUACUCAUCCAAAAUAAGUAAUCCAAACAUGAAAGUUGUAGUACUCGACGAGAUGAAGAGAUUGAUACCCUGCACUCCGCCAAACUCUCCGUGGUUUGGCCGGAAAACACCUCGAAAGGGGCGGUGCUCGUCGGAAAACUGGGUUUUUUGGCCGAAUGUUUGGGUAAUUUUCAAAGCUUUGUAACUUCUUCGUUUCUUAACCACAUUGAGUGAUUCAAAAUCUAAAAUGUAGUUAGGAAUGUGGAGAAGAGGUUCAUACCAAGUGAGGACCGAGUGGUUACCGGAGUUCACCGAAAAACGACCUGAAAAAUCAUAGCAAAAGACAGCAUAGUGAAAGAGGCUUGAGUUGUAGUGCUAGUUGCUGGAGUCGAAGAAGGGGUUGUGGUAGUGAGAGUAGAAAGAAACGGAGCGGAGGGAGUUGGGAAAGAUUGUGAGGUCGGUUUUGAGGUGGCAUUGGAGAAACUAGUGGAGAAACCAAAAGAGGAUUGCAAAGCGGAGGAAGCCAGAGUUCCGAAGGAAGAGAAUCUGGAAACGGUUAUUGAUGGGGGAGCAGCGGUGGUGGGAGCAGAGGUUGUGGGUUUCAAAAGAGAGGAGGAUGUUGGUAAUGUGAAAGCUGAAAAGGAAGUGGAGAAGCUUUGGAACCAUUGGGUGGUUAGAGCUAUAGAGGAUGACGGUUGGGACGAGGAAGUUGUGCCAGACAGCGGCGAGGGUACGCUGGGUGCAUAGGACGUUGUGCCAAACAAGUGCGAAGCGGAAGUUGAGGGGUUCCAAACAGGGGUGUGGGUGCGCUGGGUGCAAAUGAGGUUGCUCUGAAUGGGGAUGAAGUGGCGAAAGAAGGAGCGCCGAAUAGAAGGGACCAUUGGGUGGUUUGACCUAUAGAGGAUGAAGGUUGGGACGAGGAACUUGUACCAAACAGCGGCGAGGGAGCGCUGGGUGCAUAGGACGUUGUGCUAGACAACUGCGAAGCCAAAGUGGAGGAGGUUCCAAACAGGGGUGUGGGUGCGCUGAGUGCAAAUGAGGUUGCUUCGAAUGGGGAUGAAGUGGCGGAAGAAUGAGCUCUGAAUAGAGGGGACCAUUGGGUGGUUGGAGCUACAAAGGAUGAAGGUUGGGACGAGGAAGUUGUGCCAGACAGCGGCGAGGGUGCGCUGGGUGCAUAGGACGUUGUGCCAAACAACUGCGAAGCAGAAGUGGAGGGGGUUCCAAACAGGGGUGUGGGUGCGCUGGGUGCAAAUGAGGUUGCUCUGAAUGGGGAUGAAGUGGCGGAAGAAUGAGCUCCGAAUAGAAGGGACCAUUGGGUGGUUGGAGCUACAGAGGAUGAAGGUUGGGAUGAGGAACAUGUGCCAAACAACGGUGAGGGAGCGCUGGGUGCAAAUGAGGUUGCUCCGAAUGAGGAUGAAGUGGCAGAAGAAGAAGCUUCGAAUAGAGGGGAGACGGAUGCGGUGAAGGUGGUGGCAGGUGCGGAGGAUAUGAAUGGGGAGGUGCAAGAGCCGGAACAGAAUAAGGAAGGAGGGUUGGAGAAAAAGAAAUGGAAGUGGAUUGGGCGGAAGAGGAAGAAAAGGAAAAGCCAGUGGUGGACGUGGUGGCAGGUGUGGAGGAUAUGAAUGAGGAUGUGGAAGAGCCGGAAAAGAAGAAGAAAUGAGGGUUGGAGAAAGAGAAAGGGGAAGUGGAUUGAGCGGAAGAGGAAGAGAAGGAGAAGCCGGUAGUAGACGUGGUGGCAGGUAUGGAGGAUAUGAAUGGGGAGGUGGAAGAGCCGGAACAAAAGAAGGAAGUAGGGUUGGAGAAAGAGAAAGGGGGGUGGAAAAGGAAGAGAAGGAGAAGCCGGUGGUGGACGUGGUGGCAGGUGCGGAAGAUAUGAAUGGGGAAGUGGAAGAGCCGACUGAGAAGGAAGGAGGGUUGGAGAAAGAGAAAUGGGAAGUGGAUUGGGCGGAAGAGGAAAAUGCCGAGGAUUCAAAUAAAAAGCUCGACAUUGUUUUCUCUCUUCUGCUGCUGCUGCUGCUCUAUGUUAUUGAGAGGUUUUUCAAAUUUUGGGGUUUUUGGUUAACACAUUUCAAAGCCUUCUCUUUUCAUUUUCUGGUUGUCAAUGGCUUCAUCCGCCUAAGUUUUCACAUUCUGGAGAUUUUGUUUCACUUUUACCAUUGUAAGACUAUAGAUCAUAGAUGCUGACAUGGUUGGACAGAUGUCGAAUAAUGGUGUCGUUGCGGCCCCCACCGUCAAAGAAAAAGCAGUCCCCAUGGGCAUUCAAGCUGAAAGAGAACUCAUAAUUGUAUAAAGGUUUUGCAUCACAUUCAUAACUCGAUCCGAAAACUUCACAUCUCAGAUUUUCGAUCUGUAACUUCCAAAGAUUUACAUUAUGCUUCUAAAAUAAUAUACUAAAAUAUUACCAUGAUUCGACAGUCGGAUCUUCGCCAAUCAAAAUUCAAGUGGCAGUCAACAUUUUAUUUUGCGAACUUACUAAUCCAAUUCAGGAAGAUUCAUACGUCAAAUUCCCAAUCCGUAAGUUUCUAUGGUCCUCAAAUAUUACGUACUAUAAUGUAUUAAAGUUUUGUGCCAAUCCAACCAUCAGAUCAUCGAUUGCUAUAAUGUUAAAGAGGCAUACCUUAGAGAAAUUAUACCCAAACGAUGGAAUUUCAUUAAUCGGAUGUCAAAUAUGGAAUCAAGGCAUCCAAAUUAGCCUAGUAAGGUCAGGUGGGGUAUUAGCCUAGCGCUGCCGCACACGGCAACUGACCACCCCAACUCGUCGGAAAAUUCAACUAAUUUCAAAAAUUCUCAAAUUUUACCAGAAUGAAGAUCUCAAUUAGUAGAGCAAGUUUUAUACCUAUGGCCACACCUUAAAUCGCCACAAACCUACCGGAACCCUAGAAAUGGGUGGGUUUCAAUUCACCCUCUCCGAUGCUUUGACGUGCCAACCAAAGCUUGGGACUUGUUCCUGGGUUCAAGAGGUGCUGAAAUAUGGUAGUGGUUGACGAAAGAGCUCGCAGAAAUAGCGGAUUCCACUGUCGUGGCUUCGGAACACCCACCAUAGGGUUUGAAUGGAAAAGGAAGAGAUGAGGCCGAAGUGAUGAAUGGUGGGGGUGGAUGGUCACGAUUCACCAGAAAAAUGGCUGAAAUCACGACGGAAAAGGUGCAAGAAGUCUGGUCAUGAACCCGGUAAAAAAGGAUAUGGUGCUCCUCCACUCAAUAGCAAUUAAAUUGCUACCUCGAAAUAUUGAUCAUUUAAAUACUUGAUUGCAAUACUUAUCUGUCAAUCAUGUAUUAUGCUUAAAAUCUCUAUAUAACAUCUCAAAUGGUGCCAAACCAAAAAUUGAAAUAGUAAUCGUAGUUACAUGCAACCUUAACAAAGAUGAGUGUCUAUUACAAUCAUGCUAAAACUAUAGAACGGAUAAAUGCAACAUGUUCACAAAUGUCUGGAUAGUUCAUUCGAACUAGUAGUUAAUCUGAGGGUGAAAUGUGGUAAUACAUAAUAACUUUGUAACCAUGGUUUUCAAGAAGACUCCCAAAACUUGGAAGUGAUACACGCAUCAUGAUGAGGUACAACAAUGACAUGCACAUUAGGCAUCCAAACAUUAUAAUUCAUAUAUGUCACAACAAGUAGAUUCAUUAUGAAAAUUUCUCUCGAAUUUAGUGAAACACUGUGUCGAGAAGGCUAAAAGAACAAUCAAGAAUUUGAGAAUUAAAAUAAGUCCAUCAAUCUAGAAUACAAAGUAACUAGAUUAAUGCAUAACAUCUCACUACAAUGGUAGCUUCUAGAAUAUUCAAUCACCAACGGUAACGAUUCGCUUAGCAGAGUUUGUUGAGUGAUUGAGAAAUUAAUGGUCACAACUGCAAUUCCAAUGUCAAUGGUUCUUCUAGACAGUUUAUCAACUUCAAAAUAAUGCGAAGUGCAAUAGGGUAGGUAGUACCCAAGGUUGACUGGAAUGCCUUCUAACACAAAAGGUGAAUAUGAAAUCACAAUCAAAGUAGAUGUUGAUCAAAAUGUCAGAAAAUCUGAAAAAUUCAAGAAUGAGUAAUUUUCUCAAGUGAUCAAAAUGUAUUCCCUAUGGACCAAUGGAAAGUAAGCUAACUUGUCAAGUCGGCGAUAAUCACCGAAACAUCAUUGUAAUAUCCACAUAUACAAGAUACCUCAUACCAGGAGCUUAUGGUGAUAUUUCUCAUCUCCAUUUGGAUAUAGAAAGUGAAUAUAACCACUCGAACGAUUUCUUGAUAAUUUGUAAGUAACGUCAACCCAAUGCUCAUGAAUUCCAACUAAAAUGAAAUAGGACAGACUAAAAGCAUUUCGGGAGUAGAUAAUGUCUUUUGAUGUGGCAAACAGUAAUUACGUUUCCACAACGAGGAUGAUACACGAUUGUGUAAUUGUAGAUGUUAAUUUGGUUCCUCUAUCACCAUUGUCAGAAAUCUAUUUCUUUCCAAAUGGAUAUGUACUUGCGAGGUCUAAGAUUGAUAGAGAUUUUGGACACGUUUCUCUAUAGAGAAGUGUCAUUCAGUUUUUAAGUAAGAUGGUAACUAUUGACUCUAAGUUAUGAAUAAGAUGGUUCAUUCCAAACGGUUCUACACGUUGGGAAAUAUAAGCGAUUCUCCGUCAUGCUGCCUCUGUACAGCCAAAACAUCCAAAGAACACAUCAUCAUGGAUUUUCAAAAUAAUUAUUAUCAUCGAAAGGUGUAAAACGAAGGUAAGAUGAGACAACAAUUUAGUUGUCAGAAACUUUAUUCAUAAUCAACAUCAUAACUAAAUUAACUUUCCUCGAUCGUAAAUGAGGAAAAAACACUACAGCCGAAGGAUCGCUAACAAAUUGUCGAUAAAAUCGACAUGACCAAAGAUAUCUCGAACGUCACUACACUUCGUGUGAAUUUCAACUUUCUUCCACUAAACCCUUUUUGGAAAAGAAAAGAUUAUCGUUUACGAAGAUCACGUCUCCCAAGAAAAGUACCAAUUUAAUCAAAGUUAAUAGUUGAGCACUUUGGUAUAAAGCUGACUAUUGAUAUUUAGAGAAUUUGGUCUCACUGUCAAGGUAGAUGAAAAAGUCAUCGAUAAGACCACUAUGAAUACGUUAGGCUAUGGGAGAAAACUCAGGUUACAAAGGUUGGUCAGCUCGACCAUCAACUCGAAAUAGGGGCUAACGGUUUUUGGUCGUCACGUGAUUGAGUCGCUAAAGUCUAGGUACAACCCUAAGGUUCAACCUUUCGCCUUUACGAAUAGGUUUGAGAUUCUCUAGAUAAAGUGUUUGGUUAGAUACAGGGUCGGGCGUGUCAGUUUGGUAUUAGAGCGUGGUUUGUUCAUAGCAUACUUAGGAUCUUCUAUUAUUGUAGUAGUGUGUCGAUCAUGACGUCAUUUGGAUGUCACGACUUCCUGAUUUGUUGUCUUUCGGCACAGUUAUGCAACCCUCAUUCUGCAUGAAUAGUCACAUCUUAUGGAAGAAAAAGAAAAUUCGUGUUGGGAUUUUGCCUCAGUGUUGACGAAAUGGAUUGUUGAACAACUUUCAACAUCGAACUGAUACUCUAUAGCAUGCGUUCCCUAAGAAUUGCGAGUAGAGUUGGUGUUUACAUUGAAGUGACUAUCUAAGCCGAAGAAACUAUCAUAGACACUUAAGAGCAAGUCUUGUAGAAUGACUGUAACCUCCUAGUUGUUUUAACCAUGUUUUCCACUUAGGUAACCAAAACCUCUUCGUCUAGCCACAUUUUCGAUCACUUCCACAAGUGGACAAUAGAAUCGAAGUACAAGUUAACUUCUCAUUAUUAGAGUGAAGUAGCGUAUCGAGAAAGCUACAAAGACUUAUUAGCACGUGUCUACCCUGGUGUUCGGUAGAUAUCAGGGUCGGGCGUGUCAGCGAGUAUCUUUGACAUAAUUCAAAGACGUAGUAACUAAAGUAUGCUUAAUAGACCUCCAAGAAAUUGUGGUUCCACCAACAAUACCCAUUUAGGAUCUUGCCAUGUACGGAUCGAAUAAGUACAUAGCGUCAACAUAACCAACAAAAGCAACUCGAAAACUAGGGGGAGGGGGGACGGUUGCACUCAAAGUUGAGUAAGGAUAGGACAAACACAAGUCCACAACACUAUUAAGAUAACAUAGAGUUUUUUUAACACAUUUCAAUGUCUGCAUGUUGGCACAUGAUUGUGUUAUGCUAAGAGAUUUAUAAUGCAGGAGAUGUUAGGUCUUGUACACUGAGAUAAGUACAACAAAGCACCAAUUGCACUUAAGUAUGGAACCUCAGGUUCUAAAACUUCUUCAUCAUCUAUCUUUGGACGGUAUAGGUCUUAUUGUGCAUCAAGCGUACAGAUGACAAUGAGAGUACUCAAAGUCCACGCUUUAUCAUUAAAGCAUUGUAACAUCGUCUUGGUGUAGUUUGACUAGUUGACCAUGACUAAUGGACCAUAAUGUUGGAUUGUGAACUACCUUAGUAUAUAUGUGCAGAAGUGUGGAGGUUGGCAUAAACAUAAAUAAUCAUUUUAACAUGCAUGUUUGCGAAAUGCUGGAUUCCAUUUAAUCAUAUUAAAUUAAUUUAUGUAUUGGUUAUGUUCAUGUAUAAUAAAAUUAAGAACACAUGUAUAAACUUAGAGUACGUUUUAGAAUUCUAACCUUUAGAUUUCAUAGGUGGACGAAUUCAAUGUUGUUGAGGCUACUAAGUGUUAGCCGUCUACUAGUAUCUACACAAAUAAAUCUUCGGCUAGUGAAGCAAGAAGACAACGAUCUGCUAGAACUUUAUCUAUUAGGUAGGUGCUGCGGCAGAGGUACAAUGCAUUGUUAUGAAGUUGGUCUAUAUUGUCACGCCUCGCCCCGAAAUAUAAAUAUAUUAAAUCUUCGGCUAGCGAAGCAAGAAGACGACGAUCUGCUAGAACUUUAUCUAUCAGGUAGGUGCUGCGGCAGAGUGACAAUGCAUUGUUAUGAAGUUGGUCUAUAUUGUCACGCCCCGCCCCAAAAUAUAAAUAUAUUUCGGGAAUUAAUUAUGGUAGGCCCAACUUAAAAACGUAGUUAAUUUAUUUCCUUUAACCACAUCCCUCUAAGUCAAUAUUACUUACUAUUACAAGCUAUCCAUAUUUUCUUAAAAUGUCAAACAUAUCUUUCAUUUAACAAUUGAAUUCACUAAUAUUAGUUGUCAUUCUCCAAAUAAUUCCCUUCGUCCCACGUAGAAUCUAUAACCAUUAUUCGUUUACCAAGAUAUACAAUUUACUUUCCAAUUUAGAACCAUUUCCUUCUCUUAGAUCAAAUUCCAUCUAAACACUAAUUCUCGAUUAUUUAGUCUCACUUAUUUAUGGCUGCAUCUAACGUCUUGUUAGACUGCCUACGUACCCUAAACAAAGAUCAAGCCAUUCGUAGUUCACAAAUUCAAAUUCAAUUAAACUUUGAUAUUUCUACACAUAAUUAACAAUCACCAACUAGCUUCAAAUAAGUGUAUCACAUUAAAUACUUAUUUAACUUGAAUCCAAAACAUCAAAUUUAGCUUAAAAUACGGCAUCGGUUCCCUAGCCAUGCGUCGUCGCCGUCCUGACUUGCCGAAAAAUUCAACUAUUUCUAAAAAUUCUCAAAAAUUACAAAAAUGAAGAUCUCAAAGAGUAGAGCAAACUUUAUACCUAUGGCCAAGCCCAAUUUGGCCGGGAAACACCUCAAAUUGGCCACGAACUGCCGAAAACUCUUGUUUUGGGUGUUCUUGAUUUGUCUCCAAAACAACUUCGACGCCUCAACCAAUGCAUGGGCUUUGUUCUAGGCCUCAAGAAGAGUAUGAGAGUAGUGGUAAUUGAAUGAAAUCACUUCAAAAUUUGGUGAAUUUUGACACCUACACCGUCGCACCCACCGGUGCGUUUUACCCCAUUUCAAGGUCAAAUUUCAUGAUUUUUGGGGGGUAACAGGGUUAGGGAAGGUCAUUGAGGGUUUUCCAAGUGGUAGUUUAAAUUGAUUUGCUGGAAAAUGGGCUAAAACUCACCAAAAAUAGCAAGGAAAACCGACCGAAUCGAGUCGGGUCCUUUCAGGUCAGGGAUCCCCCGUACCCCUUUUCUCUCAUUUUCCCCCCUUUCUCCUUUCUCCCAUUGGUCAACCUCCCCCUAUUCCUUCCUUCCUUUUCUCCUUUCUAUUCUUUUCUUUCAAUCUCAACCGUCCAUUUCUUUAUUUAUUUUCAUCUCAGCCACACACGUGGCACAACCAUUGGAUCAAAUUUUCUGGAGCCUUCUACCAUAAAAUGAAAUUAUUAAAAUAUCCUUAACUUUAAACGUUAAUAUCUUCUUUGUUAUAACUUCGUUUCAUGAACGGUUUGUGCCUACACAUUCAUGAGAUCGAGCUCUAUUCAAAAAUAUAAAUUGUCACUCUGAAUAGUUUUCGGAUUUUUAAAUAAUAAAUUCCCAAACUUAGAACUUCUUAACCAGUUUAAUUUAAAACUAAACUCGAAUAAAUUAAUAUAAUUUCUUGAAAAAUAAUCUAAAAUCUCAAUCAUACAAAUACAUAAAUUAUAAUAAUUUCCGAAAAUAAAACUUUAAAAUUUUCCAAUUCUACUUUCAUAACCAUAAAUCGAUUUAUUUUCAAUUUUCUCCACAUAUUCAUAUAUUUAAAAUUUCAGGGUAUUACAUAUAUUGUAUUGGAAAAUAAACAACAAGAAAGUUCAGAUGCCAUACCCUUUAAUAGCCAUAACAAGUGUUGAAGUUGUCGAAGUUGUAGUUUUACUAGAACUGUUUGUUGUCGUUUCAGGUACAAUGUAAGGAAUAUUUCGUCAAAACUAGGUUUAUGGAUAAAAAAUAAAAAAAAACAUACCAACUCAAGCAGUAAGGAUAAACAACUAAAUUAUUCUAAACAAGUGAACUCCAAAUGUAAUGACCUGUCUCAAAAUUUUAUAAAUUUCAGAACGACAAGGGUAAAUUGGUAUUUUCACAUGUGAGAGAUAUUUGCAUGUUUGUCUCUUAUGACUUGUUUGGUGCGCCAAUGAGGCCCACCGCUUUUAUUUGGGGACUAGGAUUAUCUCUUCUGACACACCCUGACCCAAAAUAUCGAGAUGUGCUGGCAGUCACGUGAGGAUGACGUAGCCAUGCGCGUUGUGCGGAAGAAUUAAAGUGAAAGACAGUGAGGAAACGAAAAGUAAACCGAAUAAUUUACAUCAAAAGAUAAGUGAGUAAAAGUGAUGAAAAGGAAAGCAUAAAGCACCACAUCAAAGUUCAAGUAACCUAGGUGCAGUCCGGAAUAAACAAGUACUGAAUAAACGUUAACCAAAUAAAUCCUACAUGGAUGAUGCCUUGUUAAAACUGUCUCGAUGCCUCGCUCGCCACCAACGUCGCAACUACCUAAAACUUGGAGCGGCGCAAAACUGAAAACAUGAGUGGGUAAAAACAAAGUUUUUCCAAAACCGUUUCAAUAUCAAAAUAGUAACCCCUCUCCCUAUACUUUCUCAGAAAAUAUCAUCCAUACUCAAAUAUCAAUCAUGCUGGAAAACGAUAAAUCUCAAAUAUGCCAUGUUAGAAUACGACAUGUCGAAUUACCCAAUCAAAACAAAAUAAGUAUCAAGUAGGUGAGAUAAAUCAAAUCAUAAUAUGCCGCCAAUCUCAAUACGUCAGUUGGAGUCACCUAACGUGAACUGUACGACUGAAUAUAUAGCUCCUCAAUCACUAUCUUGCACACGAGUCGGAACCACCUAUAGUGGUCUGUACGACAGGCUGGGUGUAUAAUUACGCUCAGUGCUACGAUCACGUGAAGGCUGUGCAACGUAUCACAAGUCACCUAUGAGUCGGAACCACCUAUAGUGGUCUGUACGACAGGCUGGCACCUGCCUUGGGUCCAAGGUGAGCGUACGGUGCGGGAGGUGAACGAUCACGUGAAGGCUAUGCCGUACUCUGGCAGAGCACAAACACCGGGGUGCAGGAAUAUGAGCUAUAUCUCAAUCUCAUCAUCAUCACAACUAUCACUAACAAGUAUACUCACCUGACUUACCUGAGCGACGCCAAUUCAUAACCAACAUAAAUCAUAAUAAACAAUAAUGAUAUUCGACAUGGCAUUUCAAUUAUAAAACCAUUUUAAAACAUAAUAUCUGGGAAAAUAUCAAAUAUAUAUAUAUAUAUUCUGAAAACAAAAGCCCACUCACUGAUAAGUAGAAGGGUCUUAGCCCCCGAGCCUGGCAUGGCUGUGCUCGUCUUCUGGAUAAGCCUUACCUAUAUGUGAAACAACUAUAAAACCGUCAAUUAAACGCACAUAACCAACCUUAGGUAAUAACUUCUCAUACAUUGCUCAAUUGGAGGUGUUUGAAUCUAACAACAUGCUUUACUUAAUCUCAGAACACCCUCAUAUUUUUAGAAAAAAUUUCUUGUCACCCACGCGUAGGCACGUGCCUGGCACACGGACGGAACAGUUAAUGCCGUAAGGAAUAUUUUGUUAAAAAGUAACAGAUUCCAUUAAAUCUAACCUGACACUGUUAGAAUAUUCCAUCAAACUUGACGGAAUAUUCAUCGUCUCCUUCCUUGAGUCACGGGAGUCCGGCGCCGGUCGCCGUCUGUUUGCGGGUUUCUGGAAAAUUUUCAAAUGUUGAUAUCUCAGUCAAAUCUUAACUAAAUUUCACGAAAUUAACGUCAAAAUGAAGCUUAGGACAAGGGGAAGAAAUCUAUACCAAUUUGAGGUCCCAACGAUGCUGGAAUCUCGCCAGAGAAAUCUCGAAAAAUCUGAUCAACUAUAGAACUCAAGAUUUCGACAUCCAAAACACGUCAACGUUGCUCCCCAAGCUUCGUGAAGACGUCUAGAAACUCCCUGUGAUCUUAGAAUCUCUAAAAACCUCCUCAAUCACGAGUGCAUGAACAAUACCUUUAUUGGAGCUUUCAGGUUUCAAGGGUUUUCAAGGUUUUCAGGACAAACCAAGGGUAUAGUUGAACUUGCAAGGGUGCAAGGAGAAGCAUGUAUAUCCGUACUUAGGGUAUGGAAAAUAGAAGAAAAAUCGAGAAGGAGGGAGAGACAGAACCAGAAACAGAAAAGGAAGAAAAAGGGGUGCACGUGUGCAUGUGUGUGUAUAAGUUUAACCAAUCACACCAAAACUAAGCUCAAGUUCUAAUUGGGUCCAAUAAUUUGGGAUAUCACCCUAUUGGCCCAAUGUAGCUCACACACAUAACCACAAACACGUAAGGGUAAAAACGUCAAUUCAUGCCGUCGAUAAAAUUAUUUCGGGACGGUCUGUCACAUCCUCUCUUUUUUCACCCCCUUCUUUAAUAUUCUUUAUUUUGUAUUUUUUUAUAUAAAUAAAAUAUUAAUAUAAAAUGUAAUCAUGAUCUAUUUGAACGGAAAUUGGAUGGAAAAAAAAAAGAUGAGAGACUUCUCAUUUAUUUGGUCUCCUGGUCCUCCCUCUCUCUUCCUUUUCCCCGUCACUCUCCUCUCAUCUUGGACUAUCACACUCUCUAACUCUCCCGGCCCUCAUCUCUCUCGCACGACCCUCAUCCUCCUUCAAAACCCAAAAAACUGGCGAUUCCACGGAACUGAAACCAAGCUGAAGUCCCCAUCCUUCUCUGUUCCCCCAUCAUCACUGUUCUCUCCUCCCUCGGAACCCUGCAACAUCACCAUCGCGGCAGAGCCGCCUUCUCCGGCGAGUUCGUCGAUUUCCCGACUUGGGGUAAGCCUCGGGAUGCUUAAGAUCUUCAACUGUUACUUAUCUUUUUGUCCUAUUUGCUGCUAAUGAUUUGUAGCAAGAGUUGAUUUUUAACUGUUUCUAAUUGGUAAUGGAUUAAAGGAAGUUCAUUUACUAUUAGAGGUGCAUGUGAAAGUAAGCUUGAUUCGUAACCUCGUCGAGCAUUUGGAGCUCGCUUUGACUGAGGUUUUUCGAUUUGAUGUGAUGGCGUAUAAGCUUUUCUCAGUUUCUCGGUCAUUUUAAGGGUGACCAAGAUUAUCUCUGUGAGCAAUGUUGAGGUUAGGGAUUGGAAGUAAAUGAAAAGGGGUGUCUUUUCAUCAAAGGCUGAGGCCAAGAUUAUCUUUUGAGAAAACUUUGAGGCCUUACCUAGAUUGCAAGUCUCUGUUAAGUUCCAAUUGACGAAGAUGUUUAAAACUGUUGAAAUUAUACUGCCUUAAUUGAAAGGAGGCCUUACCUAGGAUAAUAUCUAGCUCAUUCGGGGUCUUUUUUUGGUUCUUUAACUACAUGAAAUUUGCAUUGAGAUGAAUUCUUAUCCUGAAUGAGUACAUGUGAGAAUCACGCGUGAUUGACGGAAAAUUAUGAAAUAAGAUAAUGAAUUCCGAAGGCUGGGUGCUCAGCUGGAGAUGCGGAUAAACAAAGAAUUAUAUGUUGAUUUGAAAAGGAAGACGUUUAUAUUGUUGAUUGGAGUAUAUAUGGCCGAUGAGAAUAUGCUAAACCGAUAGUUGCUCCUUGUAGGUUGCGGGGGAAGUGGUAACAUUAUGUGUUCAGAAUGUGGUGGCCGCGGGUAUCUAAGAUGACCAUACCGGUUCGCUUAUCUUCCUUGAAUUUGUUGUAUGUGCAAGUAACUUGUGUUAUAGCCAUGACGCUUUCCCUAAUUUUUUGUGGCUGAUUCCACGAUGAGUUAAGUGUAACAGUAAUGCAUCUGAUUCAUUUACUCUUCGAAAUGGUGUUCUUCCUCAGAUUUAUGUGCCAUUUAUCGUGUUGAAUGUUCAGAACCAUACAAUUACCACAUAACAAACACAAAGGAAACGAAAAAACUUGAAACAAAAGUUGACAAACAAACAACCAACGACAUAAGAAAACAGACUGCAUACUUUUAUUUAGACCAUUUUUAGUACCCUCAAAACUAAUUGGCAAGUUAGUUAAUCCCCAUGAGUGACAAUGCUGUCCAUAUUCUUGGCAACUACCUCCUUAGAAUCCCUCAGUUUUCUUAUGCUUUUGUUAAGCUUCUCACGCUUUACUGCCACUGCCGGGGACUCCUCCAACAUCCUCUCAAUUCCCCCACCGUAUGGUCCCAUCAACUCAUUCACAAUCUCAGCUUCCAUCUCUUUGUUCACAAGGUUGAAAACAGACAGCUGCAAGUGCAAUGCCAUGGAGUCCACAAGCCUCCUCAAAACAACCUUCCAAUAGGCAAUCAUUCUCAUUUUAAGGUCAUAAGCUUGAGCUAAAACAUGCGGGUACUUCCUCAGAACACCGACUUCGACUUCCCCGAUGCCUUCUAUAGCUAUG
rnacentral:lncRNA from 1 species